CUAACUUCAAAGUUCAAACAACUCUAUUGUUCUUGUUCUCUUUCUCUACCCCACCAAAUAAGUACAAAAGUAAAAAAAAAACUACCCAUCUCUACUUUUUUCUCAUUCAGUACUUUCGUCAAACACUUUGAUCACUUCGAUCACUUCGAUCAAAUCUGCAAUUAAACCGAUACACCCCACUUUCCAUUAAACGAAACAAGAUCAAAUUGCAAAUUUUACUCUCUUUGAGGAAUUUCUUUAAACACUUUAAGAAUGGCUUGUCAAGCAAUUCAUGAGAUACACUCAUGGACAUUUUCUGCACUUGUUGGUGCAUUUCUUGAUUUGUUUAUAGCUUAUUUUCUUCUCUGUGCAUCAACUUUUACUUUCUUUGCAUCAAAAUUCUUAGCAAUUUUCGGAUUAUAUCUUCCUUGUCCAUGUAAUGGACUCUUUAGUGAUCCCAGAAGUAAUAGACGUAAUUGUAUUGAAAGGUUUCUUGUUGAUACUCCAAUUGAAAAUAUUUCAUCUGUUCAAAUGUCUGUUAAGGGUAAGUUUCCUUUUGAUCCAAUUUUCACAAAAGAUCAUUAUCAAGGUAGUCAAUUGAAGGUUAAGUUGGUGAAAGAUAAAGAUCAUUCUUCUUAUGGAUUUCUUGAUAUGGAAGGUGAAGCUUCUUGUAGCUCUUACUCUGAUCCCCAAAAUGAUAAAUUGCUUCGUUUGGGAUCAAUCAAUUUGUCGCCAGUGCAUAAAGGGGUUGAUGAUUAUAAGGGGAAGAAAGUCUUAAAUCAAAGACCGAGAGCUGGUACUCUUCGUCGACGUCGUAGAACUUUUCCUCAUGGUUAUAGAAUGAUUGGGCGAGAAUCCUCUCUACCCCCUUUAGGUAGUGACCCAAUACAGUCAGAAACUACAGAAAAUGAUGAAAGUUCAGUGCGUCAAGGUGCGUAUUAUAUUGUUGCAUUGUUACAUUUUUAGAAAUGUCUUUGUGGUUUGUGGUAUUUAUGAAUUGCGAGUUAUUUUUGGUGUAACUUACUGGAUAUAGUGCAAUUUUGUUAUGAUAUUUCAGAUGAUGACCAAGUUAAUGCUGGUAUCCUUUCUGAUGAGGGUCCCCAACACAGCUUUCAGUGGAAUGACUUGAUGGGUGGAAGUAAGAAUUUCGGAAGGGAUGAGUCCUCAGCUUCAGAUGUAAUAAGCCAUAUUCAACAGGAACUGGUAUAUGACCGGAGCGAAGUAAAUGCAGUUCGAAUACUGGAACAGGCACUUGAAGAAGAGCAUGCUGCUCGUGCUGCUCUAUACCAGGAUUUGGAGAAGGAGAGAAGUGCUGCUGCAACGGCUGCUGAUGAAGCUAUGGCGAUGAUAUUGCGUUUGCAGAAGGAAAAGGGCAUCUACAGAAAUGGAAGCUAAGCAGUAUCAGAGGAUGAUUGAGGAGAAAUCUGCUUAUGAUCAAGAAGAGAUGAACAUUCUCAAAGAGAUACUUUUGAGGAGGGAGAGGGAGAAGCAUUUUUUGGAGAAGGAACUUGAAGCUUAUAGGCGAAUCAUGACUCCUGGAAAUGAAGAGUUGGUUGGGAUUUCGACACAAAGGCCUCGUAUGUCAUUUGAUCCUAGUGAAGACCCUGCAUUGAUGCUUCAGCAGAUAAGUGAAUAUAUCGACAAAAAGGAGAUGGCAAAAAUGAUGAAUAACUCUUCAGCAGAUUAUGAUGCCUUGUCUGUUGAGAAGCAGGGUCGAGUUCUUACCUUUGAGGAAGAGUCGCCAUCACCUUAUUGGAAUGAAACUGACGAUUUAUUGGAGCAAGGGGACGCUAGGAUGAGUUUAAGCUAUGAAACAGAUCAGGGGCAUGGACCUCAAUGCAUAGAUGAAUAUAAACAUUCACAGAAGGGAUUACUGUCUGAGCCUGUGGAAGAGUGUUCAUCCGAUUCUCAACAUAAGCUGGAUUGGACUAGCGAACAGAAUUCACUUGAGAAAACUAUAGUUGUUGACGAAGAGAAGGAGAUAAAUGAUACUGUUGCCUCUGCAGUAUGCCAAGAAAUGGCUGAAAAGAAAGAUCAACAUCGUGUGCAUCUGGAGAAACAUGCCAAUAAGGCGGAUCAAGAUGGGAUAGAUCUCCUUAAUUUUGUGCAUGAAGCUGAGCCAACUGUUCUGGAUGUUCAUGUAGUUGAUCAUGACUCAGAGUUGUAUAAUCAGGGAAGUGAGAAGGCCACUGUGUCACUGCCUGUGGAUACUGUUACAGGCAGGUGUAGAAAGUUUCAAUCUGAAUCCUCUGCUUUAAGGAGUAGUGAUACUUUAAAUGUGCUCCCAAGGGGUGAAACUCAGUCAAAUAUUCGCAGAAGCGUUUCAGACAUGCAAAGUGUGGUGGAUAAAUCGCAAGCCAAAACCUUACUUUCUGAUAUGAGAAGGAACUCAAUCUCUUCAGUUGAUUACGAAAGGAUGAAACUUGAAAGUGAAGUUGGAUUUCUUAGAGAAAGGCUAAAGAUUGUGCAAGAGGGAAGAGAGAAGCUGAGUUUUUCUGUGGAGCACAGGGAAAGGGAAAAGAUGCAUCUGCAACUUUUGGAGGAUAUAGCCAGACAGCUUAGGGACAUUCGUCAAAUAACAGAACCGGGAAGGAGUGUUCGCCAGGCUUCUUUACCCCCUUCAUCUUCUAAGGUGCAUACUAAACAUUUUUUUAUUGCCAAUAUUAAAUGCGAAAGUGAUAUUUCAUGCAUGGAAGUCUGAUUUAUAUAAAUAUGGUGGUAAAAUGGCAAAGGGUUGUCCACUUGUUGUCUAGAUUACACGUGUUAACAUGACCGACCUUCAUUUAUUUGAUGCCAUUAAAACAAAAUCUUUCUCAGUAGUCAAUAGUGCCAUUUACUUAGGCAGAAUAGAAUGAGUUGUGGUUAUUUAUUCUCCAAUGAAUGAUAAUUAAUAUGAUUAAUUCAUGAAGGCUGUGUUUGGUUCCCAGAAUUCAGAUUCUGGGAAAAUAGAGGGUAUUAAUGGAAUGAAGAUUUUUAUGUAACAGAUUCUACACACGAAUGAGGGAGAUACCCGAACGGAGAAAGAUUGAAUUCUGACAAAAAUAAAUGGAAACUGGUUUCCUUUUAUGAAUUAAGGAAACCGUAUUCCUUAAAAUCUACACAUGCACGGAAUCCAUUUUCCGAUCUCAUUCCUAAUAUCUAAUGAUUUUGUCCCUAAAAUCUAGUGAUUUUCCUGGAAUUUGGGUUCCAGUGAACCAAUCGUACCCAAAGUAUCAAUUAUAUCUGUCAGUCAAGUAUCAUUUCAUUAAGUAUUAAUAAAACCCUAACUUAUAGAAAGAAAAUGACAAUAAAUAUGAUUUUAUAGUACUGGUUUUAUGGAUCGCUGAGAUCACCAAAUCCAAUGCUGUUCUAUCCUAAUUUUGAAAUUUUGCUGUUGUACGGUCUCCAUAUCAUAUUAGAGUUGGGUAUCUAUCUGUUCUUCUUAGAAAUCCCUUGGCAUUGGGUACAGUUGUGUUUUACAUUAAAUAGCAUCUCUUCUAACACUUAUUCACGUCUGCAUAUGAAACCAUUACAUUACAGUGGCAGACUGUAAGAUAGGGUUAGGUAACAUCACCCUCUGAUCCUUUCCAAAACUUUCCCUGCACCCUGUAUUAUUCACACAACCUCUGCAUAUAAGAACCAAGAGAUUAAACUUCUGAUGCAUUGUUUCCAAAUAACAUUUAUUGGGAGUUCUUAAUUUUUCUGGAUCAUACUCCCAAGCUCUGCACGAGUUUCCCAGAGAUUUGAAGGAAUGUCGAAGUUCUUGUCAAUAUCAACCCAAGCAGGGGGCUUUAUCCAGUUGCUUAGGUUCCAAAAACAUAUUGCGUCAUCUUAUCGACUGGUUUGCCUUACCAAAAUGGGUGGUUUAGUCCUGAUUUCAAAUAGGACAAUAGGAGUCCUUUGGAGUAGCCGUGUAGGGGAGUUUUAGGAAUCAAGUGGUGCAAGGGUUACAGAAGUAAUGUUAACAUGUUUCUUUAUGGUCAGUAAAUGUCUCCCACAAUGAUUUCUUUACAAGUAUAGGGGGCAACCACAUACAUACUUGGAAGUCCUUAAUUAGCACUGGAGAAAAUAUAUAUAAAUUAUAAAUCGCAAGGUGGGACCCACCAUAUUACUUUGAGCUGUAGUACCUAGUGUCCUUGAAAGAACAUCUGUUUUAGUUAGGAAUACUGUAACCACAAGUAAGUCAGACCAUAAAAAAUGAAGUCGUUCAAUCAUAUCCACAAGUACUUGUAAAUGUCCAACCAUAAAACAACCUAAGCUUAAGAGUAUGCAGACAGAACCUGAAAUACAUCAAAUUUGACUCUGCCUUCAACUGCAAUUUCUUUAGUCGUUUGCUUCCCAAACUUUCUACAAGGAGCAAAUACAUGUAUCAAUAUUAACCCCCAAUAGUUAUUAGUGAUGAAGUAUGAUAGAAGAUACAUUCAGUGAUUUCACAAAAUCAACAAAUUUACAGAUAGAUGAAAGAUACAUUAAGUGAAAAUUAAACAAUGACAAACUAUGUAAAAAAAAAACUUUAUUUGUUGUUUCGCAUGGUUAUAUCACAAUAAAGCAAAACAACUUCGACCAAGAACCGCAAAGUAAGCUUUGAUUCUCUUCUACAAACAUCCACCAAAUGCAUGUUGAUUAACAGGACUAUAAACAGAAUUCUGAUGAACCGGCUUUUUAACUCAAGCAGGUACACCAUAACUAUAAAAUGGAAAUUACUAACCUUGAUAAAAAGUGUGCAUCCUUAACACGGACUCUGCUGUUUCUGAUGCGUCCAAAAAUGGGAAACUCUGAUAUUUUUAAGACCUCCGCUCUCUAAAAUUCACCAAAAGAAACCUUUUAACUUUAAUAUAGUCACAAGAAAAAGGUAUAUGACACUGGGACCCAAAAACUUUAAUAAGAAUGAAGUACAAUGUUCUCAAGGAAACCAAGAAAGAAGCAGAAGAUCGAAGGAUUAAAAGUGUACCUCAACAAGAUAAGGUAAGUCAAAAUUUGAGAUAUUAUAUCCAAGUAUGAUAUCAGGAUCAACUUUGUGAACAAACUCCUGUAUUACCUUUGCAUAUAAGUAAUAAUAUGAAAAAUAAUACUGAGAAGUAAAAACAAGAUGAUUGAUUCUCUUGGAGCUUUAAGUUAGCAUUUGUGAUUGAACACUUCCAAAGUAAUGAAAGAUAAUUAAAAGGUAAAGUUCAACAAUAAGAGAUAGUCUGAGGUAUCUGACUAGACUGCAAUUAGUCUUUUACUGUAAUUCCAAAAAAUACCCUCAAACUAGAUAACAUACUUUUUAGUAUUUUACAAUUUACACACUAUCUGCAUCUCCUGUGGGAAAAAAAACGAAAUCGUAAUGUCAAGGUAAAUGGUUUCCUUUACGACCUAUAUAUAAGGGAAAUAAUUAUUGUAGAAAAGAGGUUCCUAGCGAUAACUGAUAAGAGGAGAGAUGCAAGCUAGCUGACACUAGGAAUAGCCAAAUGUAGAUCCUCAACUCCACCAAUGAUCACUUGGUACCCCACAAAAAAACAUUAACAAAAUAAAACGAUCUCAGUUAACAAAUGUGACAUACCCUCGAAGAAAGCAAAACUUCUCUUUCUGUGUCAAAUGACAUAACAUCUACACCUUCAAUGGGAGAGCAUGAUUUCAAAGUCAUGAUAUUCCGAAUAAAAGGUUGGUCCUCUCCUUGUAGGAUGACAAGAUUGGCCACCUAGACAGGUAAAAAAAGAAAGUUUUAGCUAAACAUAUAAAAGCCGUAAGAACUAAAAUAUAAAAGUAUCAGACAUAAGUAAAUCUCAUAGUCUUAUAUCUGUAGGCUGGAAAUAAGACUUCAACCUGAAUAACAGGAUCAUGGGAAGGUUUUGGAAGGAGAUCCAUGCGACCAGCACACUCUAUAUCAAAACUCAAUAUGCGGAAUGGAGCCAUUUUUGAAAAUUCCCCUUCUGGAACAUGGCUGAUUAAUUCAGUAUACCUGCAAACAGUCUUAAGGAAAAGAGUUUCCUCAGAAGAAUAAGAGGUUUUUCAAGACACCUUAUCUAAUUAAAAUUGAGCACCCUCUAAUGCAUAAGGAUACAGGCAAUCGAACUCCAGUUGGCAAUAAGACAUUGGUUUUGUUGCCUUCUUAUAUUUCUCUACAGGUACUUCAAUCCAGUUGCCACCAACAAUAUUGGAGUCAAUCAUGAAGCGAAGAGCAAAUUCAACAUUGCCUUCGCAUGUCAUAAAUGUCUUCACACCAAUACCAUCAAUGUGAAUGCCCUUCUGAAGGAUGCCUGUCAAGGUUAACAAAAUUUAAGAUCAAGAUAGUAUGUAGAGCAUAUCGUAAAGGACAUUAACAAAAAUAUAUGUGUAGUGACACGUGAAAAUCAUUGAGUCUAGUGACGUUUACGUCAAGAGAAGUUAACCAAAACUAAUCGGUUUACUACUUCCUAUUCCUAAUGCAAACAUCAAAAGGAAGACAAAAGAAGAAAUGGUGCUGGUUUGGGAAACCCAUUAGUAAUGUCCACUUACAAAUAUAGUAAUACAAAAGUGAAGGUUGACAGAUGUUUUAGAAAACUGAGAAAUAUUAAAGUUGGAGAAACUUGAAAUGCUUACCUGGGCAUUCGAAGACCAAUUUUGGUAAUGCAACAACAAUCUUAAGUAAAAGGUGAGACUGCUUCUCCUGCUCUUGGAAAUUCAUAAUGCUCCUGUUAUGAACAAUCUCUAUCUGUAGAACGAAUCGGGGACUCUUACAGUAAUUGUUUCCCAUCUCUUCCUGUAUCCUUGCCUAAAAAUGCAUCAUGCAUGAUGAGUACAAUGGCUAUGAAAUUUACAUAAGGAGAUUAAAAUAUCUGGUUCCCAAUCCAUGCUACUUCAUCGCAGAAGCAGAGAUCCCCUUAUUAUUUUUAAGCUAUGUGGACCUCUAACUUGGCCAAUAACAAUGACAGUUUUUAAAAGGAAAUAACAUAAAGGGAAGCAGAAAUAUAAGAAAUAAGGCAAACCAAUUAAAAGAUUACCUCUAGACUCUUAUGCAAACGAGGGACAUCGUCAGGGCCCAUUCCCAGAGGAUAACUAAUGUAGAAAUAUGGCUCGAAACCAUGAACAUUGCAACAAACGCUAUACCCUGUAGACAUCAAAAAGUAUUCAUAGGCAUCACCUCAAAAAUGCGCAAAACAACCAUAACAUCAAUAUCAAUUUACUGGGUUUAGUUGAUCUGAUAGUUUUUAAGUUUAGUUAAAAAGACUAAACUUUUACUUCUAAGACAGAUGUCUCUGCAAAUUACAUAAUUGCAUAGAAAUAAAAACUGUUCCUUUUCGUUAAAUACAAAUACCCAAUCUUCUUCCCGAUAAACAAGAAAAGUACUCAAUAAGUUCAAAUGUUAAUUUAUUUAUAAAAUUGGUGAUACUUUCCACAUAAUUGAAAGUAUUAGGUUUUGUAAUUCAGCCAAUUAAAAUACAAUUAACAAAAAUCGAGAAAGACAAGCAUAUCAAAGUAUCAAACCUUCUUUAGUAACACCAAAGAUUCUAACAACAGGAGCAAAAUCAUUACUACAAUUCGGCAACAACUCUUUAUUUUUCUUGCAAAUCACAUGAUCAAUCUGAAGAUGUUGAAAAACUGCAAAAGAAUUACAACAACAUAAAUCUCAAAAACAUAAAACCCUAAUGAAAUUAGGGUUUAAUAAAGAAAAAUAAAAAUGAAAACUUACUAAUGCUUUUGUUGUUGGAUUCUUGUGAAAUAUAAGAUGAAGAGACAGAAGGUCUUCUCCAUAUACUAAGACGAGAAGAAAUAACUUGUUUACACUCUUGUUGAUCACAAAGAACUAUAGCUUUUUCCCAAAAAGCCUCUUCAUCGAUAACCUUCUCUUCUUCUUCUUCUUCUUCUUCUUCCCAAAACACAUCUUCAUCAAUAUACUCAUCUUCUUCAUUAAUCUUCCAUUGUGAUUGUUGUUGUUGAAAUCGUUUUGAUGGUGAUUGAGUUGGAAUUGAAGAUGGUGAAUUUCGUUUCUUGUUGUUCAUAUUUUAUCUUCUUUUCUUUGGCGGGAAAGAUGGAAAACUCAAUUAACGAACAAAUCAACUUCCGUCUUUUGUGGAGAAUUACUUCUAUAGUUUUAUUGUCCUUUGAUUCGAAUUAGAAGUUGAAGAGAGAGACACGAAAGCGUUACUUAUUUAUUUUUUAUUAUUCUUCCCGCCACCGCCAAAACCACGCGGGAUUAAAUUGGUCGAGCUCGCCCGGGAUAAAUAGGUCUUUUGGCCCAAGUAAGGACCAACUUAGGGUCUGUUUGAUACUGUGAUAAUGUGAUUCGAGUCUGGAAAAUAGAUUUUCUGAGAAAUCUCGAUUUAUCAUGUUUAAUUACAAGGUAUAUAAGCAGUAAAAACAAAAUAAUAAGUUAAAAUAGGGGGCAUAUUGGAGCUCAAUGUUAACGAACUCUCAUUAAAACACAUAUUUACAUGAUGUUUUAUUGAUAUUCAUGAUCGAUAUAGCACUUUAGUUAUUUAAUAAAGAUUUUAUUUUCUGAAUAUUUGCAUAUGAUAGAUCUAUUUCCAGGUAAAUUAAUUUUCUGCCCAAAUAAUCAACCUCCCCUGUCGUAAAAGACUAGGUAAACUAUCCUAACAAUCACUUGAUGUUCGAUAUUAACUUUGUAUCAACUAAAGUUUUAUCAAUAACACAAAAUUACAUUAGGCACUUGUUAAUUCUAAUUUCAGGUGUUAUUUAAAUUAGAAAGGUUCAAAAUCAGACCAGUGAAAAAAAAAGAUUUUAAGUAAUCCUCACAUGAUACUCUUGUAUACAUAUAUAUUUGGUUUCAAACUUUCAAUUAUAUAAAGGAAACUGUUGAGUGGACUUUACAAGAAUAAUUAAGCUCAAUCCUUGGUGAAGAGUAGGAUUAGCAUUCCUUCCUACAGAAAUACAGAUCCAAAUUCUUUGGUCAUGCAUUUAUGACGAAGGCAAUCAAGCUAUGGAAGGUGGAUCCAUGGAUGGAUUUGGAGGCAUUUGAAGUUCUUCAUUGCUUGCUUCUAACAUUUCAACUACCUUAGUUAUUGAAGGUCGACUGGCUGGGUGAGUUUGUAUGCACCAAAGAGCCACCAUGAUCAUCUUUUUGGCCGUUGGGUCCUUCAAAAUUUCUCCAGCACCCUCUAACUUCAUGAUUUCGGGUCCUUCCACCUUAGAGUCUUGUUUAAGCUGAUUAUAUAUCCAGUGCGGAAAAUAUAUACCACUGAUAUUCUCCACUGUUACAUCAAGAUUCUUUCUACCCCCUAUCAUUUCCAAUACCAUCAUUCCAUAGCUAUAGACGUCCGACUUGUGAGACACACCCCCAAGGUUUCUACAAGAGAUUUCGGGUGCAAUAUAACCCAUGGUUCCUCGAGCUCCAACCAUUGACACUAUGGUUUCUCUUGUUGGAUAAAGUUUCGCCAAACCGAAGUCAGAGAUCUUUGGGAAAAAGUCUUGGUCUAGAAGAAUAUUGUGAGGUUUAAUAUCGAAAUGCAAAAUACGAUUGUUACAACCACAAUGCAAGUAUUCCAACCCUUUAGCAAUUCCAAGUGCAAUUUGGUAAAGCUUUUCCCAACCCAAAUGACUACUUCCAGUGCUUAAUGUCUUCCCAUUGUAGAUGAACCUUUCAAGAGACCCAUUUGGCAUAAAUUCGUACACCAAUGCUCGUUUAUUUCGCUCAAUACAAAAGCCUAGAAGGGUAACCACAUUAACAUGGUUAGUCCUACCAAUGGUAGCAACUUCAUUGAUAAACUCUUCCCCAUUACCCUUAGAUUCAUUCAAUACCUUGACCGCCACUAGACGACCAUCAUUAGGAAGAGUUCCUUUGAACACACUGCCAUAUCCACCUUGGCCUAAUGUACGCUUGAAGGAUUUAGUCAUGGCAACAAUAUCUGAGUAUUUGUAUCUUUGUAGUGCAAGACACCCAUAGCUUUCUAGUAGCACUUCUACAUUUUUGGGGCCUUUUGUUUCGUUUCGCCAACGAGAGAAAAUCAAAUGGUACAAUGAGUGGAAAAUCUUCUUAUAAAGAAGGAAUAAGCUUAGAAGUAAUCCCCCAACUCCAGUUGAUACACCUACAAAGACAGGAUGUAUAUAUAUAUAGUAAGUUCAGAAAUAAAACGUUACAGAGUUGUAGUAAAGACUUAAGAGUUCAAGUAAUGUCUAAGUAUGAGUAGCCUACCAAUUAUGAUCUUCAACCAAAUAGGGAUGGCCUCUGCAUGGAUGGCCUCUGCCUCUGCAUGGAUGACACUGUCAUUAGUAACUAUCAACGUAAUCACAUAAAUUCAUGUAAUCAUUAUGAUGAGAAAAUUAGAUUAGUAACCAUUUACAUUCCCAAGAUAGUGAGCUUAAUUGUGUGUGGCCUAGGAGUGGCAAAUUGGCAAUGAGCCCAGUUUUAUACAAAAUCUAUGCCCAAUUUGGGCAGAUAUUGCAGCUAAGUUUGGUACAAAAGUACAUAGUUAGCUAAAUUGUAAGAUGAAGACAUGUAGUGGCUACAUAUGUGGUAAUUAUAAGUACUAAAUAUAAACAUAAAAACUCACCAUCUCGACAGAUCAAAGUAUCAUAUGAUGUUGUUCCGAAGUAGCAAUCGCAUUGAUAAACCUUUGCGGUCUUAUUAUAGUAGCAGUCCCCGCCUGAAUCCUCGCAUUUCUGACAAUCAAUAGGCACAGACCAAUACAGAUCAAACCCGAAUUUGGCUUCUUUAGUGUAAUUAGUGAUAGGGUUAUCAAAUGAAUAUGCUGACGGUGUCACCAGAGUCUCCUCACAUCUAGCGUACCAAUUUGGAAUAGCAUAAUAGUAAUUAUUGAAAGCGUAAGAACGUAGUGGUGGUAGAGUAGUAGUAGUGGUGGUGGAAUUAGUGUUGUUCUUGUAGUAAUAAUCUAGACAAGGGAUACGGUUAUCAACAUAUUUAUCAUCAUCAUCACCAUAUCUGCUGCUGCUGCAAUUAUAGAAAAGGGUCCACUUUCCAUAAUUAUAGAAAGAUGGUGCGGAUUCCAUUGAGAAGUUUCGUUUUGGAUGAGGACAAUCUUGUCCAUCUACAUCCACGUCAAUCAGAUUAAGAAGCUGCCGGUUAUAGUCAAUGGAUUGCACAUAGUAGAGGUGGUCGGAGAUAUUCGUGAACGCUCUUCCAUCAUUAUCUCUACAUUUGAUUUCUAAUAAUCCUUGAUACCCACAGUAAUUAAUGAUUUCGCUGGUGUUCCUUGAAUCAGAUCUCUGGUACCAAAACGGGUACUGAAUUAUGACCCUAUUAGAGCAUACGUAAACCGUAGAUUCACAACCAGCAGCAGAUGUUAUUACAAGAAGGCUGUUAAAGAUGAAAGAAAAGAUGAUGACAACAACAACAAGGAUAGAGAUGAGUUGAAACAUAAUUGAUGAUCGUCAAUCGAUCAUACACACGUACUAUUGUAUAAGUGUAUUCUAUUCUAAUUAUUACUCUCUAAAUUAGCUUCUUCUUCUUCUUCUUCUUUAUAAAAUUAAAAUAGAAGUGCACGUGUUCUAGUCAGUCAUCAGUCUUACCCAAAAAAAAAAAAAUAUAUAGAUCAAAUAAUUUCAUUCAUUCGUAAAACUGUCCGCUUCAUUCAACAAAGAAAAUAAGAGUAAUUGAACAAAUGGAACCCUCCUCUCAUCUCCCCUCAUUGACUCGAAAAAUCUUUUAGAUGCCUACUUCAAAUGCCUAAUCUCUAAAACUGAGUAGUAGUUUAUUACAACUCUAAAUAGUCUUAUUACCACCUCUGAUUAAUCUAUAAUAAUGCCAUAAAUGGCCACUGAUGACUAACCUAUUAAAUGAACGGGUGGCAGUUGGCAUAUUAAAUUCAUACACAUGUUAUUAUCAUAUAUUCAUAUUUAUUUAUUACGAGUAUUUUUUCUCAUCAAACAUCCAACCAUAUCAUAACUCAUAAGAACCCAUUUAUCAAAGCGUUACACAGUAACAAAAAGGAAAAUACUUUGAAGGAACCUACUUCCAUCCAAAAAUUGAUAAAACCUUCUUAAGUGUUUGACAUGGUAUGGAACCCUCCUCUCAUCUCUCAUCUCUCCUCAUGACUUUUUCAUUGACUCUGAAAAACUAAUUACCACUUUAAUUAAUACUUCAAAUGCCUCAUAAUUAAUCUAAUUACCACCUUAAUUUACUUACUGGGAGUACUUCAAAUGCCUAGCCCAUCUCUAACUGAGUAAUAAGGCCAUAAAUGGCCACUGAUGAGUGACUAACCUAUUAAAUGAACGGUGGCAGUUGGCAUAUCAAUCAAAUUCAUACACAUGUCAUUAUCAUAUAUUCAUAUUUAUUUAUUACGAGUAUUUGUCUAGCUGUUAAUCGGUACCUUUUCGGUAUAGUGUAUUACGGUACAUUUGCUUGUACACCACACAAUCUUCCACGUGGACUCAAGUGGAAACUUGAUACCGGUUAGUCUAAAGUCAACAAAAAUUUGCUCUUAUUGUUUCUUGAAUUUUGUCAUCCAUAUAGCAAUCUUGUCAUCCAUAUAGCAAUUUUGUCAUCCAUACAGCUGUCACCUGUAUGUUUGACUGAAAAACUAAAAGAAACAAUAAAAAUUGCAUAACCGGUUACCAAGUUGUCCUAAUCACAUUGUGUGGACGAAAAUGCUGUUUGCACCGUAAUGUACUGAGUUAAAAUGUAUUGAAUAAAUGGCUGUAUUUGCCAUCAAACAUCCAACCAUAUCAUAACUCAUAAGAACCCAUUUAUCAAAGCGUUACACCGUAACAAAAAUACUACUACUACUCGUAUAAUACAUAUUACUACCUAGUACCAUAGGUAGGUAGUAGUUAAAGAUCUUGAAUCUCGCACCUUUUCUCAUGAUUUAAUUUACUUACUCAUGAUUCAUGAAACGUUUGUCUGCCGUUUGUUCUAACUUCAAACAACUCAUAAUACUGUACUACUCGUAUAAUACAUACAGUAUUUCUUUUAGGUUGUUGCACUUGUUCGUACGUAUCUUUGAAUCCUAUUGUUGAUCACUUGCGCAACACACAGCUUGAUAACACUUUUGUGCAUUGACUCAGUUGAAAGAUAUAAUAAUGUUUUAGCAGUGCAAAUUAGCUCAUGUGGUAUCCAUUUUCUUAAAAAAAUUGGUUGUAGGCACAAGCUAAGAAGCUUGCAUGAAGUCUCUAAAAGCAGGCGAAAAAUCACUUAAGGCACAUGAACAAAAGAUUUGUAGUUCAUUGUAGAACCCCAGUAUCUCUCUAGACUCUAGCUCUCAUUCAUUCUUGGUUACUUUGAUCGUGUGUGUUCUGUGAUUGUUUUAAACCUCUGGAUCUUCAUAUACAGCUAACAAAGUCUACUGUUUGUAUUUGGCUUGAACCAGUCUUUGCAGCGGCCCAAAGAUCGACCAGAGUGCUGUUUGAAAUGCUCGAACAAGAAUUCUGAAGCAAAAAGCUCAAACAAUUAUAUUAAAUAUGUAUAGUACUAGUGGAAAAGUGCAUGAGUUCGUUCUCUCUUAAGAUAGCAGAAUAUGUCAAGUAUCUUGAUUUAAUCUUCUACAUUAAGGAAAAAUUUUAAUGCACCAAAAACACUAAAAGGGUGUCUUUUCUGAGCUUCACACAAAUUACAUAAUUUGCUUACCAAAAAAACUCUAUUCAGGCUCAUAGUUUAUUUAUGAAAUCAAUGUCGUUAUUUUUGUUAUAUAUGAUUUUGUUGCAGAGUCGGAGGCUAUUAUAUAUACAUGGCGUUCUAAAAGCACCCUAUUUACAUUGUAGUAGCAUUAAGUCCCAGAUUGCAGUGUACAUCUGUACAUCUAAUUUUCUCAACUAUGAAAUCCAACUGCAUACAACCUCAGCUCUAUCUAUAUCUCCUGAAAGUGAGCAUCAAAAGAACCCUAUUUUAUUUUGAGGUGCUGAUAUCUCUGCCAACUAAGUUGAACUGCUACCGCAAAGCUUUAAGACGUGUACCCCUUAGUCAGAGCCAUUGUUGCACUAGUAAAGCCCUGAGUUUAACUUCUCACAUUAACAAUCUCUAAGGAUUUCUGCUUGCUUCAAUCUUAAGACUGUGAAACGUCAUCGCCCGCCAUCAAGCCGCCAAACGGUUGUUUUGAUUAUUCUAAUUGUUGCCUCCCCAAAAACACCUCAUCCCUGAAUAUAUAAUGCUUCUUAUUGGUCACUGGCAGUUGUUUCUGGAGUCAGAGAGCAACUACAAGAGCAGCUGAUUUAAUUUGUUCAGAUUGUCGUGUUGACUACUUAGGGUGAGCCUUAAGGUUCAAACUGCAGCUAGUGAUAUGAUGGUGGUCAUCGUACGAGUACGUACUACUCACUCUUUUCGUUCUCUGGGGCUAGUUCUUUGAAGGUGCUAUAUUUUCUGAAAGCUCAUUUUGGAUUCAGCUUGUUAGCAAUUUAAUCAACCAAAGCAGAAAUGCUUGAACAAAAAUUCUCAAGUAAAAAGGUCGGACGAAUGAGUUUAAAUAUCAAAUCUGUAUAGAGGGAAAAAGUGCACGAGUUCUCUUGCUUAAGAAAGCUUAAAUUUUAUCUUAUUUAUGUACAAAAAUGUGGAAUGCACUAACGGUCAAAGGAUGCCUUUGAGCUACACAAAUUAUGUAUGUACUUACCAAAAAAAACUAUUUUCAGACUCAGAGUUUAUUGAUGAUAUCAAUGUUGAGAUUUUGUUAUGUGAUCAGUAUAUUUGUAUUGGCCCUGAUUUAGGUAGUUUUGCUUUCUCUGCAUUACAAGUUUACAACUGCUUAGCAUGUAGAACUCCUUGCUAUGUCAGUUUUGCAGAAUUAGAGCUACUUGCUAUGCUUAGAUUGAAGUUAGUAUCCCUCGGUCCAAAGCUAACUACUCCUCUCAACUCUAAUCCAAUUGCCAAUAUUUUCCCUCCAAAUUCCCUCUCUUCAGAAGCAAACCAAGAACAAUUUCUUUCAGUUUUACUUAAAAACCCUGUAAGAAACAUAGCUCUUCAAAUCCAUUCUAACUUACUAACAACUGGGUUUACUCAAAGUUAUUAUCUGCUCCAACAAGGGGUAUACCCACUAGGGUAAAGAGGAAAAUGUACUUUGCUCCAACAAGGGGUAUACCCACUAGGGUAAAGAGGAAAAUGUACUUUUCUUAGUUGUGCUUCAUUCGGUCUCCAUGGAGAAAGGGCAUCUGAGUUCUCAAGAAAUCAGAUGCAAGACACUGAAGUAGUGGCCAUGGACCUAAUGAAGGAACAGUCAAAUAUUCGAGUUCUAUUAGAAAAAUCUAUCAGCUACUGUCAGCCUGUUCAAUAUCUCAGGUAUAUGGAUUCAGUCCUAAUAUUUCUUUUAGGGGUUCUUUGCACUUGCUGGUAUCUUUGAAUCCCAUUGAUGAUCACUUGCGCAGGACACAGCUUGAAAACAGUUUUGUGCAUUGACUCAGUUGAAAGAUCUAUUAAAGGAUAUUUUGGCAGUACAACAUUAGCUGAUGUGUUAUCCAUUUUCUAAGAUUUAUAGGUGUAUCUAAUUGCAGGUACAAGAAGCUUGCUUUAAGGCUCUAAAAGCAGAAGAAUUGGCGAAAAGCCACUUAAGGCACAUGAACGGAGAACAUGUACAGUUCAUUGUAGAACCUGGGUAUGUCUCUAGCUCGCAUUCUUGGUUACCACUCUGUUUCCUCAACAUUCAUGGUUUUAGACUUUCAUAGCUCAUUAACAAAACUACCUUUUCUGAAUCAUAUGGCAUACUUUUACACUCAAGUCCAGACGUCCAGUAACCAUAACAACAAAGGCAUGACACAUCAACUUUCUAGAAAAAAAAAAUCUCCGUUAAUUUAUCUACUGUGUUUUUUAUAUGGAAAAUGCCAUAUCAUUGCAAUUAAAUUACUCCAAGAACUUUCAGCAAGUUAUGUCCCUGAGAAUCUCCUUUUUGCUUACAACUAGUCAACUAUUACAAUGGGAAUGUUACUAAGUGAACUAGUGAAGUUUUUGUUGUUCUAUAGCAGUCAUUAGACUAAUUGAAAGAAGGAAAGAUAAUUUUCUUGUCUUAAACCAACAAGCUCAAACGGAAGUUAUUAUCUGAUAAAUCAAGGAAGGCAAAAAAUCAAAAAGUCAUUUAAGUGUUUGUGCUAGUUUUCAGAGAUAUUCAAUAUACACAGUGUAUAAGUGUCUGUGGUACAUAUUCAAUUUCAGUAGUAGUAGAGUAACUUUUACGAUGAAGAAAAAGAAGAUAGAGACAGAGGAUCUAAGGAAGGAUUUGGAGGCAUUUGAAGUUCUUCAUUGCUUCCUUCUAACAUUUCAACUACCUUAGUCAUUGAAGGUCGAUUGGCUGGGUGAGUUUGUAUGCACCAAAGAGCCACCAUGAUCAUCUUUUUGGCCGUUGGGUCCUUCAAAAUUUCUCCAACACCCUCUAACUUCAUGAUUUCGGGUCCUUCCACCUUAGAGUCUUGUUUAAGCUGAUUAUAUAUCCAGUGCGGAAAAUAUAUACCACUGAUAUUCUCCACUGUUACAUCAAGAUUCUUUCUACCCCCUAUCAUUUCCAAUACCAUCAUUCCAUAGCUAUAGACGUCCGACUUGUGAGACACACCCCCAAGGUUUCUACAACUGAUUUCAGGUGCAAUGUAACCCAUAGUUCCUCGAGCUCCAACCAUGGACACAAUGCUUUCUUUUGUUGGGCAAAGUUUAGCUAGCCCAAAAUCGGAUAUCUUUGGGCAAAAGUCUUGGUCUAAAAGGAUAUUGUGGGGUUUAAUGUCGAAAUGCAAAAUACGAGUGUUACAACGACAAUGCAAGUAUUCCAACCCUCUUACAAUUCCAAGUGUUAUUUGGUAACGCUUAUCCCAUCCCAAAGUAGUAGUAGCAUUGGAAGUUGACAUCUUAUCGUUGUAGAUGAACCUUUCGAGAGAGCCAUUCGGCAUAAAUUCAUACACCAGUGCUCGUUUCGUUCCCUCAGUACAAUAGCCCAGUAGGCUAACCACAUUAACAUGAUUGGUCCUACCAAUGGUAGCUACUUCGUUGAUAAAAUCUUCUCCGUUACCCUUGGAUUCAUUCAAUACUUUUACUGCAACUAAACGACCAUCACGAUUAAGCUUUCCUUGAAAGACACUUCCAUAUCCUCCUUGACCUAAUGUAUUCUUAAAUGAAUUGGUCAUUUUCUUUAUCUCUGAAUAACUGUAUCUUUGUAUUGCAACUCCAUAGCUCUCUAGGAACUCUUCUACAUUUGUUGGUUUCUUAAUUUUCUUCUUCCAUCGAGAGAUAGCUGAGUAGUACAAUAUGUAGAACGUCUUCCUAUAAAUAAGGAGUAAGAUUAAAAGUAAUAAAAGUAAUCCCCCAACUCCAGUAGAUACACCUAUAAACAGAGGGAGGUUAAUAAGUCACAAAACAAAUAUAGAGCUCCAGAUUUGGUUUAAGUAAUAAGCAUAUUCAUGAUCAGCUUACCAAUUAUGACCUUCCGUCGUCCAGUAGGCAUGCCUGCAGUAAUCAUGCCUGCAGUAGUCAUGUCUGCAGUAGUAAUAUAUAGCAUCAGCAUAAUCAUAUAUGAAGAUGGGUGACCAUCAAGUCAUGGAUAAGAUGAGAGCAAACAGAACAUUGUAAAGAGAGAUGAUAUUUUAAUUGAGUAAAAUGCAGUCCAUAUGAGCCAAUAAAAUUGAUUAUAUGUCAAUGCCUACCAAUCAUAUCUGCAGAAAAUGGGAAUAAACUGUAAAAAUAUGGUGGUAUAUUGCAAAAUAUGAAACUAUGCAAUGAUAUUUAGGAGUAACAAUUAUGCAAUGAAGAUUGAAGAGUCACAAUAGUGGCUACUAAUUGAGCAAUGAAUUACCUUGCUAAUACUGAUAUAUACUGUAGAUGAUUACAAGACAUAGCAGCAGUGUAUUAUAUAUGAUAUGAUGAAAAAAUGUUGUCAUUAAAAUGAGCUAGUAAAGUUGUGUGGCUAUGUACUUAUGUGGUAAUUAAUUUCUUUCUUUGAAGUGCUAAAUACAAACUCACCAUGUCCACAGGAUAACCCAUCAUAACCCAUUCCAGCGGCACAACUGCACCUAUAACCCUCUGUGGUAUUAUCAUAGUAGCAGAGCCCGCCUGAAUCCUCGCAUUUUUGAUAAUCAAUAGGCACAGACCAUACUAGAUUAAACCCGAAUUUGGCUGAUUUAGUGUAAUUAAAGUUAUCAGAUGAAGAUGAUAACGGUGUCACCAGAGUCUCCUCACAUCUAUCGUACCAAUUUGGAAUAGAGCCAAUAUCAUAGUCAUUAUUGAAAGCGUAAGAACGUAGUGGUGGUAGAGUAGUAGUAGUAGUAGUGGUGGAAUUAGUGUUGUUCUUGUAGUAAUAAUCUAGACAAGGGAUACGGUAAUCAACAUAUAUAUCAUCAUCAUCACCAUAUCUGCUGCUGCUGCUGCAAUUAUAGAAAAGGGUCCAGUUUCCAUAAUCAUAGUUUCCAUAAUCAUAGUUGAAACGCAAAGAUGGUGCGGAUUCCAGUGAGAAGUUUCGUUUUGGAUGAGGACAAUCUUGUCCAUAUACAUCCACGUCAAUCAGAUUAAUUGACUCCCCGUCGUAGUCAAUGGAUUGCACAUAGUAGAGGUGGUCGGAGAUAUUCGUGAAUGCUCUUCCAUCAUUAUCUCUACAUUCGAUUUCUAAUAAUCCUUGAUACCCACAGCCAUCGUUCAUUUCGCUGCUAUUAGAAUCCUGGUACCAAAACGGGUAAGAAAUUUCGACCCCAUUAGGGCAUAUGCGACCCGUAUAUUCACAACCAGCAGCAGAUGUUAUUACAAGAAGGCUGUUAAAGAUGAAAGAAAAGAUGAUGACAACAACAACAAGGAUAGAGAUGAGUUGAAACAUAAUUGAUGAUCAGAUAUCGAUCGACAAUCGAUCAUACACACGUACUAUUGUAUAAGUGCAAAUUCAACGAAUUGAAGAUAAAUUACAAGGGAAGGUGCCACAACAAAUGCCAGCAAAGAAGGACUAGCUUUUAAAAACCAGACAAACCUGAACAGGAAGAGUAAUCAAGCCACCACAACAAACACCAGCGAAGAAACAUUCAGCAGGUAUACCCUGCAUUUAUAAAUCCAACUUCAUUCUAAAUGCUGAUUAAUAGGACAAUGGUGCUAAUGAUAAACUUGACAAACCAAUCACAAUCAAGACAUUAUUGUACAUUGGGUGCAGCCAAUUACAAAAAUCUCUAUCAAAAUGAGCAUACAUACCAAAGAACCUGCCAGGAAAGCUGUUGGAUUUCUCACACCAAUAGAAAACCGUUCCACUGCAUUUCAAUAAGGUACAAACUUAUCGGUAAACAAUUUCCUAAAACAUGUGAGACUCCACAAUGAGAAUAUACACAUUUUGGUGCAUUUUGAGCUGGAGACACCAUACUGUGUCAUCUUUAACAUUAUAAAUAUCGUGGUUUGUAAAACUUACCAAAACCUAUGAGAUUUCCAUACCUCUGCACAGCACUUGUGAUAUUUACUGCCUUCUUUCUGUCAAUGCCCAACUACACAUAUAAUCAGGGAUAAAAAGCUUAAGCAAAUAACAUAAUGAUAGUAAUCGUACUGUGCUUUGGUACAGAACUUUGUUACUUACUACACAUACUAAUACAAGACAAUGAUAAACUAAAAUGAGAUAAUGAAAAGAAAUUGUAGAUCACAGGAUCUUGAUAGUGCAAUGGAAGUGAAGGGUGACAAACCUUAGCACACAAGUCAUCAGAUGCCCUAGUCUGUCCAAAAAGCUUCCCAAAGUAGAAUGGGACCAUAUCACUAAUGCAAACACCCCUGAAGAUAUAAGUUUCCAAGUAAAACGUAGGAUCAGGCUGGAGCAGUAAAUUAAAGGGAAAAUCCUCUAGAAAACAAUGUAUUCAGCUACAAUCCAAUAGUCCGAACAUUUAGGCUUGAGUGGAGAAAGCCCCUCUAUCAUCAUGACUUCAAGAAGGCAUUUGAUUAUGUAAAGUCUAACAGGCUAACACUUGAGAACCAAAGAUCGAAAUGUUUACGAGGCAUACCAAUAUACCCAUAGAACUGUGGAAAUUAUGUAUGGAGCAUUCCUUGAGAAAGAUUCUGCAAAUGAAGCCCAAGUUCCAUCUAGAGACAGCAACCGAGCUAAGGAUAUGCCGACCUGCACAAUUUUAUGAUAAGUUGAUUAGGCUGUUGUUAAGCCGCAGGCCAAAUCACAGGAAGAACAAAGCUUGACUAAUGCAAUUCCUUGAAGAUAAUGAUUAAAUCGACAAAUUUAAUAGAAACUGGCGUGACAAGUGGAGGUCAACCAAUUUGAAUUGGUGAAACAGAAGUACCAGUUGAAGGACAGACCCAUAUAUUUAGAGCCUCUUCGCUAACAAACAGUCCACAUCCUGCAGCCAUGAGUAACCAAAAGUAUAUCCAUCUGCAAGUAUACUUGUUUGUGAAAUUUUCAGUAUUUAUGUCAGAGAUGAUUUCAGAUGAUAAAAAGUUUACUUGUUUUAUAUGAUUUUCAGAUGAUAGUGACAGGACAUAAAUGCAGUUGAAAUGUUUCAUAGUGUAAAAUUAGGAGCCUACCCUGGUGCAUACUGUGGCACUAUAAUCUGGUGUCCGAAAACCUUCAAAGAGAAUCCACUAGGGUGAACACUUGAAGUUGAAGCUGAUGAACCAUGGGAAAGAAUUGGAAGCCCAAGUGAUGGCCCUUGAGAAAGUGGAUAAAAUCUGGCACAGAUAAUCGUCACCGUCGCAGCAACCCCCAGAGCAAUUGCUAAUUUAGCCAAGAACGAACUCUCUGAUCUAUUAGAAUCCAUUCUUUGAGCUCCAAGCAUGUCAUCAGCACCAUUAUCAUGUCCAUUCUGAAUACCUUCUGACGUUGACAGCUCAGACUUUCCCUCAUCUUGAGGACUAAAGCUUUUAACCCUGCUCAUCCCAAAGAGCAAAACAACACAUUCAUAUGAUUAAUAUAAUAUAUAGCAAAUUAAUUUGCUAAAAAUCUCGAACAACACAUUCAACACAAAAUUGGACCAAUGUUUUGUAAAAUUGUUUGCGCAAUUGGUAGUAGUAACAGAAGGAAACUUAAAAAGUUUGAACAGUUCAACAACAUCCUUAACCGCAAUGUGUGGCCCUCUACCUGGCUAUCAUCCAUCAACAUCUAGACCAUGUUUUUAUGCUCUUUCUCAGUUUUACAAUAGUUUUGAUAUAAAGUAUGCAGUAUAGUUGUAUCAAUCAUGCAUUAUUCAUUACAAAAUAAUCGUAUAUAUGUGCAAAAUUAGUUGUUCUUUUGACUGGUGAUAAUGCUGAAAUUAAUCACAAUAGUCUAUACUAAAUCCAUUUUUAAGAAAAAAAUACAUAAAAGAAAUCCCUUUAUUCAUUUCUAUUCCACAUUCUGAAUUUAACCCAAUCUUUCUUUAACCAGUAUGUUCAACAAAAUUACCAUAAAAUCAUUCUCUAGAAAAAAAAAACACAAGCCAAUCAAUCCAUAUUCUCUAUAACAGAAAGAAAUCAAGAACAGCACAGUAACAUUGAACAUUAAUUACCUUAGGGUUUUGUAUCUCGACUUGAACAAGGGAAAGAGAAGAGAUCUACAACUUCUUUCCUUUGAAGAAAAGGACUUGUAAUGAACAGCAAUAAGAGAAGGUGUUGAAACUGAGAAAUUCUGGAGAUGAAUUAAUGGGGAAUUAGUGCUUAAAACUCUCGUCAUUAAUAAUAAAGACAUUAAUUUAGAGAAAAACUGUGUUUGUAGUUUGUUGAAGAGUGGUUGGUUGGCUGGCAAUUACAGUUAGAGAAGAAGGAGUGCACACUGCACAGUGCAGUGAAGCUAUACGUAAACUCUAGAUCUUUCUGGCUUUACAAUGUGACACGUGGAAAAGUGCUCAUAGCAUAAUCGAAUUGGCUACCGUGGAAUAUACCUGCCCUUGGCCCUCCUGAUCAUAGUCGGAAUUACCAAAAACACCCUAACAGUCAUAGUCUGAUGCUGGUUAACCAUCUUUCAUUCUUUCUCUUUCUUCACUCAAAUUAUUUUUUCUUUCUGAAGAAAGUUUAUUUACAUCUCUUUAAGCUUUAGUAUAUAUACCGCAACCGUAUAUACAUACAAAAUUUGGUGAAAUUCACAUUCAUUGACUCAAUGGAUGCAUCUAGUCUUCUCUUGGCCAUAGUGUCUAUCUGGUACCGUCUGCAAAAAGGCUGCAGUAUUGCUCAGAUUUCCUAAAUAAAUGAUGCAACUUCAGCGGAAUUGCCAUCUAUCCAACUGCAGCUUGAGUUCAGCACUUCGGCCAAGUCCUUCUAUGCCUUCCUCUGACAAAAUAUUGGAUAAUUCCACCUGAAAGGGAAAAAAAAAUGAACGAUGAAUGAGAUGAAAUUAAGCGCAUCAAGAUUAGACAAGGUAGCAGUCAGUGCAAAGUGUAACAAAAAGGUCAUGCAUGAACAUUCUCAUAUAAAAGAAAAAUGCAAUAUAAAAUUACUCACAAAAUAUUAUUGAUCUAUGAAGAGAUUCACAUGUCAUGAUUGAUCUAUGAAGAGAUUCACAUGUCAUGGGCAUAAUUCAAGUCAGUAAUUUUUUGACAGUAAGAUUUGUAUUCCUUCUUUUUAUCAACAAAAAAUGGAUAUUUCCGUAAUCAGGUUUAAUAAGGUGUAGCAUGACAUGUGGUUUAUUAAGCUUCUAAAUCUAGGGAAAAGAUUUCUUCCUGGAUGUGUUGUGCUCUGUGCAACUGAAACAUAUUCUCUCAUCCUUUUUCCUUAAUUCCAAACUUAAAAAUAGUUUACCUGAUGGAAAGAGUCAUGAAAAAUCCGAUUACAAAAUCCAUUAAACAGAAAAACUUGGUAUUUUUUUUUUAUUUUUAUCAAAAUUUGGAUUUCACAAUAGUUGUUACACCUCCAUGCAAUUUCAUACUCACUCAAAUUGUAAAAUGAAACUCAUAGUGGCUUUCUCGUCUUCUUCAACAUCUAUGAUGAUACUGGACUAGAGAACGAGCAAAUAUACAGUCCAGAAUGACUAAUGCUAAAUCAAGGCCACAAUAUAGCUUUAUCCCAGUUCUCCAUGUAAACAGUCGUACCGAGUUUCAUCUGACUGACAGGAAUCUGGAAUCCUACUGUACGGAAAUUUAUUGUUAUUACUUAUUACUCAUAGGGACCAAGUGGGCUUCCUACCUAAUACCUGUGAUAUGCGCAUGUACCUGGUUGUAAAGAAGCAAUCUAUUGUAAACAGAGAAAACAAACUUACAAUUGCACCACCAGAUGUACUCUCUCUCAGUCCCUGGUAUUUGACACUGGGAAUAACAAGAUUUUUCUGUUUUGCUUUCCUCAGGAGUUGGGAAAGAACCCGAAAGUGUCAGGAACUGAAUGACCUGAUUCAUCAUGGUGAAUACUACUAAAAUUCAAGUAAUCAUCUAAACACAAUUUACCUCGACGCUUUGACCUCUUGAAAGAAGAAAAGAAAUUGGGACACCUGUGACACGAGCCAUCUCCACAUAAUUGUUAAUAACCAUCAACUUGUCUAAAAGCUUUAGUGGAAGGUGAGCAUCCUGCAAUUGUAUCAAAAAUUAUUGAUAAGCAAAAUGGAGAAGUUGCAAGACUUUAUGUGACUUGUCCUUGUCUAAAGGAGAAUAAUUCAGUUCCAUUUCUAAGAAAUUAAAAGAGGAUGCAAAGGUACUUACAAGAGCUCUAAGGGGCAAAAAUAGUUACUUGUCUACUCCUUUAAAACCGUAUUGUUUUUCAAUUUGGAUUUUGGACAAAAACAAAAUACAUGUCAUACCUUCAAGCAAUACACAGCAAGCCGCCUCCUAGUUUCUGAGUUCCCAUUCUGAAGGUCAGAUAUUACUGAGAAGUGAACACCCUCUUUCUGCCCUUGGAUUUAAAUAGUUAAUGAAGUUAAUUAUAAGCAAGUGCACAUCAAUGAAAUAUAGACCUAUGAAUACGAUAAAAGAGGAGAGGAAGGGGGAGGGGGGUUAAGAAAACCUAAUAACCUCACCUGUUCACCAAGAAAGUGAGCUGGGACCGAACUUAAGGAGUAUGAACUUAAAUUGUAAUCCUUUUUCAUGGACUGCAGCAAAUUAGGGUAAAAAAUGAAGUCGUUCAAUUAUAUCCACAAGUACUUGUAAAUGUCCAACCAUAAAACAACCUAAGCUUAAGAAUACAGCACACAGAACCUGAAAUACAUCAAAUUUGACUCUGCCUAACUGCAAUUUCUUUAGUCGUUUGCUUCCCAAACUUUCUACAAGGAGCAAAAUACAUGUAUCAAUAUUAACCCCCAAUAGUUAUUAGUGAUGAAGUAUGAUAGAAGAUACAUUCAGUGAUUUCACAAAAUCAACAAAUUUACAGAUAGAUGAAAGAUACAUUAAGUGAAAAUUAAACAAUGACAAACUAUGUAAAAAAAAAACUUUAUUUGUUGUUUCACAUGGUUAUAUCAUAUUAAGGAAAAACAACUUCGACCAAGAACCGCAAAGUAAGCUUUGAUUCUCUUCUACAAACAUCCACCAAAUGCAUGUUGAUUAACAGGACUAUAAACAGAAUUCUGAUGAACCGGCUUUUUAACUCAAGCAGGUACACCAUAACUAUAAAAUGGAAAUUACUAACCUUGAUAAAAAGUGUGCAUCCUUAACACGGAUUCUGCUGUUUCUGAUGCGUCCAAAAAUGGGAAACUCUGAUAUUUUUAAGACCUCCGCUCUCUAAAAUUCACCAAAAGAAACCUUUAACUUUAAUAUAGUCACAAGAAAAAGGUAUAUGACACUGGGACCCAAAAACUUUAAUAAGAAUGAAGUACAAUGUUCUCAAGGAAACCAAGAAAGAAGCAGAAGAUCGAAGGAUUAAAAGUGUACCUCAACAAGAUAAGGUAAGUCAAAAUUUGAGAUAUUAUAUCCAAGUAUGAUAUCAGGAUCAACUUCGUGAACAAACCCCUGUAUUGCCUUUGCAUAUAAGUAAUAAUAUGAAAAAAUAAUACUGAGAAGUAAAAACAAGAUGAUUGAUUCUCUUGGAGCUUUAAGUUAGCAUUUGUGAUUGAACACUUCCAAAGUAAUGAAAGAUAAUUAAAAGGUAAAGUUCAACAAUAAGAGAUAGUCUGAGGUAUCUGACUAGACUGCAAUUAGUCUUUUACUGUAAUUCCAAAAAAUACCCUCAAACUAGAUAACAUACUUUUUAGGGGGAUUUAGAGAUACCCCCCAAAAUAAUAGGAACUCUUUGAGAUACCCCCCAGAUUUAGAAACUCUUAGAGAUACCCCCAUUUUUCCAUUUGAAGCCGGUCAACCAAGCCGUUGACCAUGGUCUGACCAGUCUUCAUAAUUUUUAGACAAUUUUACCCUCCCACCAUUUAAACCCACAUCCUAGUCAUUUUGCCCAGUCAUCAAUAAUGCCAUGUCAGCAAACAAAACUUUCAUUAGAGAUACCCCCCAAAAUACAAGUUUCAUUUGAGAUACCCCCGAAAUUGCAGAGAAAGGUAAUUUGGGGAAGAUGAUGAAAGAUGAUGAACCAAAUCUCAAAAAAUACUAAAAUACACAGUACAAAACCACUAAAUACUAUAAUUUACCUUCAUAUCAACGUUUCAACUAGGUAGAUCUAGUAAAACUACUAAAAAUUAAAGUAUUUAUUGGUUCUUCUAGAUCGAGUAAUGAAGUGUCAUUCUUUCACCAGAUCUAGUAAUGGAGUAAUAAAUGAGAGAUGAUAAUGGCUAGAUCUGUUAAUGAAGAAGGAAGAAAAAUGAAGGUGAAAGAAGAAUGGUUUGAUGAAGAAAAAGCAAGAUAGAUAGAUAGAUAGGAUGGAGAAGAAGGAAGAAAGAAAAGAAAUGAUGAUGAAGAAGAAAAAGUGAGAUGGAGUUUGAUGAUGGUGAAGAAGAAAAGAGGAGGAAGAAGAAGGAGGAGGAAGAAGGUGGAGUUUGAUGAUGUAACGGUAGAUAGGAUUAAAUAUAGAUCUAGAUCUAUUUUGAACGGUUAGGAUAAGAAGUGGUAGUUGUAAGUGGGUUUGCUGACAUGGCAUUAUUGAUGACUGGGCAAAAUGACUAGGAUGUGGGUUUAAAUGGUGGGAGGGUAAAAUUGUCUAAAAAUUAUGAAGACUGGUCAGACGAUGGUCAACGGCUUGGUUGACCGGCUUCAAAUGGAAAAAUGGGGGGUAUCUCUAAGAGUUUCUAAAUCUGGGGGUAUCUCAAAGAGUUCCUAUUAUUUUGGGGGGUAUCUCUAAAUCCCCCUACUUUUUAGUAUUUUACAAUUUACACACUAUCUGCAUCUCCUGUGGGAAAAAAAACAAAAUCGUAAUGUCAAGGUAAAUGGUUUCCUUUACGACCUAUAUAUAAGGGAAAUAAUUAUUGUAGAAAGGAGGUUCCUAGCGAUAACUGCUAAGAGGAAAGAUGCAAGCUAGCUGACACUAGGAAUAGCCAAAUGUAGAUCCUCAACUCCACCAAUGAUCACUGGGUACCCCAUAAAAAAACAUUAACAAAAUAAAACGAUCUCAGUUAACAAAUGUGACAUACCCUCCAAGAAAGCAAAACUUCUCUUUCUGUGUCAAAUGACAUAACAUCUACNNNNNNNNNNNNNNNNNNNNNNNNNNNNNNNNNNNNNNNNNNNNNNNNNNNNNNNNNNNNNNNNNNNNNNNNNNNNNNNNNNNNNNNNNNNNNNNNNNNNNNNNNNNNNNNNNNNNNNNNNNNNNNNNNNNNNNNNNNNNNNNNNNNNNNNNNNNNNNNNNNNNNNNNNNNNNNNNNNNNNNNNNNNNNNNNNNNNNNNNNNNNNNNNNNNNNNNNNNNNNNNNNNNNNNNNNNNNNNNNNNNNNNNNNNNNNNGCGACCAGCACACUCUAUAUCAAAACUCAAUAUGAGGAAUGGAGCCAUUUUUGAAAAUUCCCCUUCUGGAACAUGGCUGAUUAAUUCAGUAUACCUGCAAACAGUCUUAAGGAAAAGAGUUUCCUCAGAAGAACAAGAGGCUUUUCAAGACACCUUAUCUAAUUAAAAUUGAGCACCCUCUAAUGCAUAAGGAUACAGGCAAUCGAACUCCAGUUGGCAAUAAGACAUUGGUUUUGUUGCCUUAUAUUUCUCUACAGGUACUUCAAUCCAGUUGCCACCAACAAUAUUGGAGUCAAUCAUGAAGCGAAGAGCAAAUUCAACAUUGCUUUCACAUGUCAUAAAUGUCUUCACACCAAUACCAUCAAUGUGAAUGCCCUUCUGAAGGAUGCCUGUCAAGGUUAACAAAAUUUAAGAUCAAGAUAGUAUGUAGAGCAUAUCGUAAAGGACAUUAACAAACAUAUAUGUGCAGUGACACGUGAAAAUCAUUGAGUCUAGUGAUGUUUAGGUCAAGAGAAGUUAACCAAAACUAAUCUGUUUACUACUUCCUAUUCCUAAUGCAAACAUCAAAAGGAAGACAAAAGAAGAAAGGGUUUGGGAAACCCAUUAGUAAUGUCCACUUACAAAUAUAGUAAUACAAAAGUGAAGGUUGACAGAUGCUUUAGAAAACUAAGAAACAUUAAAGUUGGAGAAACUUGAAAUGCUUACCUGGGCAUUCAAAGACCAAUUUUGGCAAUGCAACAACAAUCUUAAGUAAAAGGUGAGACUGCUUCUCCUGCUCUUGGAAAUUCAUAAUGCUCCUGUUAUGCACAAUCUCUAUCUGUAGAACGAAUCGGGGAAUCUUACAGUAUUUGUUCCUCUUCUCUUCCUGUAUCCUUGCCUAAAAAUGCAUCAUGCCUGAUGAGUACAAUGGCUAUGAAAUUUACAUAAGGAGAUUAAAAUAUCUGGUUCCCAAUCCAUGCUACUUCAUCGCAGAAGCAGAGAUCCCCUUAUUAUUUUUAAGCUACGUGGAUCUCUAACUUGGCCAAUAACAAUGACAGUUUUUAAAAGGAAAUAACAUAAAGGGAAGCAGAAAUAUAAGAAAUAAGGCAAAUCAAUUAAAAGAUUAUCUCUAGACUCUUAUGCAAACGAGGGACAUCGUCAGGGCCCAUUCCCAGAGGACAACUAAUGUAGAAAUAUGGCUCGAAACCAUGAACAUUGCAACAAACACUAUGCUCUGUAGACAUCAAAAAGUAUCAUAGGCAUCACUUCAAAAAUGAGCAAAACAACCAUAACUUCAAUAUCAAUUUACUGGGUUUAGUUGAUCUGAUAGUUUUUAAGUUUUAGUUAAAAAGACUAAACUUUUACUUCUAAGACAGAUGUCUCCGCAAAUUACAUAAUUGCAUAGAAAUAAAAACUGUUCCUUUUCGUUAAAUACAAAUACCCAAUCUUCUUCCCGAUAAACAAGAAAAGUACUCAAUCAGUUCAAAUGUUAAUUUAUUUAUAAAAUUGGUGAUACUUUCCACAUAAUUGAAAGUAUUAGGUUUUGUAAUUCAGCCAAUUAAAAUACAAUUAACAAAAAUCGAGAAAGACAAGCAUAUCAAACCUUCUUUAGUAACAUCAAAGAUUCUAACAACAGGAGCAAAAUCAUUACUACAAUUCGGCAACAACUCUUUAUUUUUCUUGCAAAUCACAUGAUCAAUCUGAAGAUGUUGAAAAACUGCAAAAGAAUUACAACAACAUAAAUCUCAAAAACAUAAAACCCUAAUGAAAUUAGGGUUUAAUAAAGAAAAAUAAAAAUGAAAACUUACUAAUGCUUUUGUUGUUGGAUUCUUGUGAAAUAUAAGAUGAAGAGACAGAAGGUCUUCUCCAUAUACUAAGACGAGAAGAAAUAACUUGUUUACACUCUUGUUGAUCACAAAGAACUAUAGCUUUUUCCCAAAAAGCCUCUUCAUCGACAACCUUCUCUUCUUCUUCUUCUUCCCAAAACACAUCUUCAUCAAUAUACUCAUCUUCUUCAUUAAUCUUCCAUUGUGAGUGUUGUUGUUGAAAUCGUUUUGAUGGUGAUUGAGUUGGAAUUGAAGAUGGUGAAUUUCGUUUCUUGUUGUUCAUAUUUUAUCUUCUUUUCUUUGGCGGGAAAGAUGGAAAACUCAAUUAACGAACAAAUCAACUUCCGUCUUUUGUGGAGAAUUACUUCUAUAGUUCUAUUCUUAGGUGAAAAAAUCGUUUAGGGGCGGAUAUCCGAUCUGCCAAAAACCGGAUUAUUCCGCGGAUAUCCGACCUCCCGUGUCGAAUUUUUGAGGUUUGGCAAAUUCAAAAAAACCGGAAUUUUUCGCAGAUAUUCGCGAAUAUUCGCGAAAAAUUCGGCAAAUUGGGAGGUUUUCUGCACUUUCCGUGUUUUUUUUUCUGAUUUCGAUAUAUAAACUUAUAAUUAAAAGAAAAACAUACAUUACAAAUUAAACACACGACAAAUCAUACAAGGAAGCUAAGACGGAACUAUUACACAAGAUAGUUUUACUCAUAGGUGAAAAAAUCGUAAAUAUCGGGCGGAUAUUCAUAGAACUUUUAUAUGUUUACAAUACAAGAACUAAACACAAACAACCUCAUUACCAAUUAUUCAUUACACAAAAACAAACCUUGGAUACAAACAGUAUACUGGUUUGCCAAAAGUGAGAGAGAACUUCACUUUGGCAUGGGCGUGCUUUUUUUUCGUUUCUUUUUGAUAUAUUGCUCUUGGAGGGCCAUCAAGUUCGUCGCGAAAGUUUCCAAACGUCUAGUGCCUUUUGGACCUUUUUUUGAUAAUCUCAUCGAAAAUUCUAGUUCGGAGGGAUUAAAAAUAAAUGUGUUAAUUUUAUAAUCGAAAAUUUCAUAAAUUUCGAUAAAUAUCGGUUUUUGCCGAAUUAUGCCGUGAAUAUCCGAUAAAUGCCGACCGGCAUGGGGUGUUUUAAAAUCCGUUUAUAUGCCGUAUGCCGUACCGUGCCGAUCUCCAAAAAAACGGAAUAUAUCGCGAAUAUCCGGUCGGCAGAACCGAUUUUUUCACCUAUGGUUCUAUUGUCCUUUGAUUCGAAUUAGGGGCCAUUUUGUAAAAACCCCACAAGUUUAUGUUAAUAUUUGCGUUUACCCCACUAAAGAUUUUUUUUUUGUCUUAUCACUAGCAAGUUAACGAUUCUGUCUCCUGACCGUUUGCAGUUGUUAACGUGGCUAGAACUUAAAAACGCUGGCUUAUUUAAAACGAAAAAAUGCUGACGUGGUUUAAACUUAAAAACAGAGGACAGGUGUGAUGAUCCAACGGUCGAGAUGUAUCUUUAAUCCAACGGCUAGGGUGAGGGAUCUAAUAAUAUAAAGGAAACACUUGCUAGUGAUAACAACUCACAAGCGCGAUCUUUCCCAUUCUUCCCGCCUAAUUCCUUCUUCUCCCUCUCAUAAACCCUAGCAAAAUCUUGUCUUUCAACCAAAUCUGUUGUAUUUGUGGUAAAUUCAACUCAAAUUGUUAGUGGACGUGUGAUCAGAGUUUGAUCGUAGCUAGGACUUGAAGGUAAAUGUCCAACUUCAAUCAACUUUUUCACUUAAUUUUGUUUCUGUAAUGGAAAAUGGUUUUUUUCUAUAAUUCUGAGUUGGAAUGUUCUGUUGUAUGAUAGAUCGUUACAUGCAAUUACAUAAAAUCUGUUUUGAUUGUCAUCAAAAUUUAGUGGUUUUCAUAUUCUUUCAAAUUUGGUGUUCAAUUUUUCUCUGCAAUCAAGUGAUUGUUUUUAAGUUUAUCUGUCAAUUCUCUAGUUUCCUUCUGUUAUAAUAUGGAUUUUUACAUUAAAAUGACAAAAAACUGUUUAUCUGUUGAUCAAAUUUAGGGGUUUUGCUAAAAUUCAUAAAAAUUUAGGGUUUUUAUAUAUUUCUAUUUCAACAGCAAUUUUGUGUUAUUAUUAGUUGGAAUGUUCUGUUAUAAUAUGUAUUUUUACAUUCAAGUUACAAAAAACUGUUUAUCUGUUGAUUAAAUUUAAGGGUUUUGCUGAAAUUCAACAAAAUUUUAGGGUUUGUAUGCAUCUCUGUUUCAACGACAAUUUUGGAUUGUUAUUGUUUUAGAUCCAUCAUUGUUCUUAUUUUAAUUGUUGUUAUUGUUGUUGUUUGUCCAAUGUAUGUAUACAAACAAACUUGGUGAUCAAAAUGUUGUUGUUGUUGUUGUUGUUGUUUGUGUUGUAUGUAUACAAUAUUUAUAUAAGGUUUUUUAUACACAGAUGACAGAGCUUCCUAAGAGACAUCUUAGGUUUCAUUUUGGAGGUAAUUUUACAGAUAUUGGACAAGUUCCAAAGAAACUAAGGUGUUAUAAGGGUGGAAGUACUGUUGAUUCAAAGCAUUGGGAUGGUGAUGAAGUGUCGUUAUUAGAUUUGGCUAAAGAAGUGUUUAAGUUAAUAGAUGUACCAGAUGGGAGAAGUAUAGCAUUGUCAUGGUUUAUGAUAUGUAGGGAUGAGGGUUAUAUUAAUAAGAGGUUUCACAUGGUGGAAGACAUAGAUGUGUUGGAUUUCUUUAAGAAUGCCAAACAAGAUAAACAGAAUUUCAUUCACUUAUAUGUUGACUUUGUUAGUCCUACGUACAUAGGAUCUAUCAACAGACAACUACAAGUUCGUGUCCAACCUAUUCUUCAACCAACACCACCAUCUUCAGUUCCUUUUGCUCAAACUAGUCAGCAAGUUGAUGUUGAUGAGAUUCCACCAUGUAGUGAAAACCCUGUCAGGAAUGAGGAGCUCCCACCAUCCACUAGACAGAAGCUGCCAACAAGGAGAAAAGGAAAAUCACCAGUGAAACCCAAACCAACAACACCUGUUAAGCCCAAACCAACAACCCCUGUGAAGCCCAAGAGAAAAUCACCAGCAAAGCCCACAAGGUGGAGUAAAAGACUUGCAACAAAUCGAGUUGUUAAUGACUGUGAAUCACAAGGUUGGUCAAUAACAUGUAAUCUUAUAAACUUAAAAUUUCAUUGCUUUUGUUUAACCUGUAAUUUUGAUAUAAACUUACGGUUUAAUUGUUUUUGUUGCAGAUGGUGGUGAUGAUGAUGUCUGUCAGGUUGAAGGCCCUCAGGUUGAACUAGAGGAAGUAGACCCUUCUUUCUUAGAUGAAGUUGAGUCCACAUUUGCUGUGUAUGGUGAUGAAGGUUAGUGUUUUUUUAUUUUAGUUUUACUAUGGCUAUGUUGGUGACAGUAUUGAAAAUUUCAUAGGAGACAGUACAUAGCAUAUAUAUAUAAUACAAAAAGAUCAUGCAUGAUAUGAUGUUGGCUCUUAUAUAUAAUGUUUUUUUUAUUUGAGUUUUGCAUUUGCUAUGUUAGUGACAGUAUUGAGGAUUCAGUUGUUUUUCAAUGAGUUAUUUAUCUUGUGUUUAUGUGUUAUAUAAGGGAAUGGCCAUGAGACAGUCAAUUGUGAUCAUUAUGAUGAAGGGACUAUUAAUCUUGAAGAUGAUGAUGAAGUACUUCGAAGGAUGCCUACAACUAGAAGCAAAGGUCCACCACCUGAGUACAAUAUAGAUAGAAUUGAUGCAGAAGAAUACUAUGACAGUCCUGAUGAUUAUUCUGAUGGAACUGAGUCUGAAGAUGAUAGCCCACUCACAGCUGAAGAGAUAGAAAGAGCUAAGGCACAGAUUCAAGAGGAUACACAAAGAGAAAGAGAACUAGAAGAUGAAAACCAUAUGCAAAAAGGUAUUGAAAGGGAUGACAGAGUAAAUGAGAACCAAAGUGAACAAGUGAUUCAUGAGAAUGAUGCUGACAUGGAGUGGAUAAGAAGAACAGCUAGGAUUGAUGAUGCUGAAUAUGAAAAUCCACACCAUGGUAAGAAGACAAUAAAAGAAGACCAGAGAUGGUAUGAUAUUUAUGAAUGUAGGAAGGCUUUAAGGACUUUUGCUAUCAAGAGAAAAUUUUUGAUGAAGCUUAAGAAAAAUGACAGUGACAGGAUUGUUGGUGUAUGUCAGGGUACUACACUUGGUGGAAAGAAGUGUAAGUAGAUGGUCUCUAUUGGAAGGAUGAAUGAUGGCCACACAAUGAGGGUUGGGAGGAUCAAUGAUGUUCACAUUUGUGUGUCCAAUGAAAUAGAAGUGAAUCCUACAGCCAAUGCACAAUGGAUAGCUAAGAAGAUAGAAAAGGAUAUGAGGGUGCAUCAUAGGUCAUUCAAGCCUAGAGACAUAGUUGGCAAGAUGUGGGCUAAGUAUACAUUGAAUAUUAAGUAUUGGCAAGCAUGGCAUGCAUUGACUAUAGCACUUGAGUUGGUCCAUGGAAACUAUGAAGAGAGUUACAUCAAACUUCCAGAGAUGUGUAGGCAAAUCCUUGAUGCUAACCCUGGUAGUCUUGCAAAAUGUGCAAAGAAUGAUCAGUUUAAUACUUUUGAUAUUUGUGUAAUUGCUUUUAAAACUUCUUUGGAUGGUUUUGUGAGAGGAUGUAGGCCACUUAUUGGAUUAGAUGGUUGUUUUUUGAAAGGUAAGUAUGGAGGUGUUUGUUUAUCAAUUGUGGCAUUGGAUGGGAAUAAUGGAAUGUUUCCAUUAGCUAUAUGUAUUUGUGUGAGGGAGAACUUAAAUAAUUGGGAGAGGUUCUUGGAAAUCAUGGAACCACACUUGAGUAAGCACAGUCAAACACUUGUAAUCAUGAGUGAUAGGCAAAAGGGUUUAAAUAUUGCAGUAUCAAAGGUCUUCCCUGAUGCUCAUCAAAGAUUUUGCUUCAGACAUAUGGUUGCAAACAUGAAGAGGUAAUUCAGUAUUUAUUGAUGAAUAGUUUUUCAUUUUCUAAAAGCUUUUGCAUUUUUUGCCUUGGUUCUAAUGUCAAUGUACUUUAUGAAUUUCAGGUAUUUCAGUGGUGUUGAUGCCUUGGCUUGGCCUGCCUCAAAAGCUUAUUCAGCUACAUAUUGGGAGCUUGACAUGGCAGCAAUGCACAAGAUUGAUCCUGGUGCUACACAAUAUCUGAUGGAUGAAAAUCCUACAAGAUGGGCAAGAGCACACUUUGAUAAAGAAUCCAAGGCAGAGCAUACUACAAAUAAUUUGAGUGAGGCAUUUAAUGCAAGAAUUCUGGAAGCAAGAGAAAAACUUGUUCACAGGUUGAUUGGUACAGUCAGUAGUUGGCUCAUGAAGCUGCAAUUUGAGAGGAGGAAGAUAGCUAGGACUUGGGAUCAAUCUAGUCUUGUUCCUAGGGUAUUGGAAAUUUUAUAAGAGAAGAAAAAAAAGAUAAAUGAAUACACUUGUUAUGGAUCUGAAGAUCACCUGUACCAGGUUAAUAAUCACAAUGGUAAACAUUGGAAGGUAGAUCUUACAGAACAAAAUUGUACUUGUGGUGAAUGGCAGCUAACAGGAAUACCAUGUGUUCAUGCAGUGAGAGUGUUGAACUCUAUGAGAGUUGAUUGGAAGAGGUAAAUGCCUUUAUACCUAAUUUUUUUAGAUUUUGCAGACAUUUUCUGAUAGAGGAUAAUGCACUUUACACUUUGCAGGUAUUGCAGUCCAUUUUUUACAGUUGAAGCAUAUAGUCGAGUGUAUGAGGGUUCUAUCAAACCUAUACUGCAUGAGUCUGAGUGGCAGAAGGUGAGUAUAGUAAUUUUUAUAAAAUGUAUAAUAGUAUACUUGCGAAGUUAUUUUUCUUUGUGUUUAUUAAAGUUUAAUGUAAUAUGCAGAUAACUGAGGUGAUCAAUCCACCAAUAAAAACAAGAGGACCAGGUAGGCCACCUAUUGCAAGAAAGAGAGGGCUUGAUGAAGGUCCAAUCAGAUAUGGGGGGAAGAAACAACAUAGAUGCAGCAUAUGCAAAGGGUAUGGGCACAACAAAACAGGGUGUACUGGAGUUGGUCCUGACUAUGCAGAUUAUGUGGCUGCUACAUCACAAGGUCCUGCAAAGAAAGGUGCAACAGAAAAAGGAGGAAGACCUAGAAAAAUUGACUAUGGUGUGCCAACAGAAAAUAUUGCAGAAGAUCCAGCAUUCAGUGAGUUUAUUGCACAGUUUGAGCCAGUAGUUAGUGGGAGAGGCAAGGGAAAAGGAAAAAAAACCUACAAAGUAAAGGGAAGAAGAGGACAAAUGCUGCACAAACAACUGAUCCAUCACAACCUUUUGAUCCUUCAUUGUAUGGUUUUGGAACUGCACCACAGUCUGUUGGCCAAUUUGAUCCCUUAUUCUACGGGGGAGUGCCUACACCUUUAACUCCCAACUUUCAGCAUUCUCAGGUUCGAUUCCAAACUCCUAUGUACUCUUCUCAGUUUAAUAGUCCUACUCCAAUGCCUGGUAUCCAGUUCAGGAACCCUACUCCAAUGCCACAAGCUCCCUCAAUUAGACUUCCUCAGCAACAAACAACAUGGAGACCACCUCCCCCUGACAGGCAACCCUACAUGAGGCCUCCACCAGCCAACACACAUGUUUUCAGAGCUCCAGCAGUGUUCCCAUUACAUGGUACAAGAACUGAAAGAUUGGCAGCUUUGUUUGGAGUCAACACAACAUCUGCAGCUCAAGGUGCAACAACGAGCAGCCAAGCUUCAAGUUCUAAUUUAGUUCAACCAAGAUGGAGGAUUUAGUUUAUGUUGUUUUUUUUAGAAAAGAAUGUUGUUUAUUUUGUAAGUUGCUCAGAUGAACUAUUUAAGAGCAUUUUUUGGUGAUUUUGUAAGUGAUGUCGAACAAAUUAUGGAUGUCGAACAAAUUAUGGUUAUAUGUAAGUGAUGUUGAACAAAUCAUGGUUAUUUUGUUGCAGGUGUUAUGAAAUUUAAAUGUUUGUUUAUGGUUAUUUUACUCAGAUGAAGUUUGGUUUAUACAUGUUAUGAAAUUUAAAUGUUGCUGCAGAUAAAACAUGCAUUCCUAUUCAUCAGAUAAAACAUGCAUUUCCAUUCAUCAUAAUUUUUGUUAUACAUCUUACUUAGAACAACUUCUGCUACACUUACACACUCACAUUAGUUUGGGCUAAAAUCACUCAUUCACAUUAGUUUUUGCUAAAAGCUUCACAAUCUUACUAAUUGCCUUGGCACUCCCCUGUACACUCAUGUCCAUGUUCUAGUCUGUCGAGAUUUUGAGUGUGACAGUAUCUUCCUCAUCAACAAGUUGCUUCUCCAUCUUAUUAUUCUUGAGUGUGACUGAAUCUUCAUCAACAAGUUGCUUCCCCAUCUUCUUUUUCUUCAACAUAUUGCUCACUAUUUCUUGCUUCUUCAACUCCACAUCUUCAAUUUCGUCCACCCACAAAAAUCCUUUGCAAACAAUGGAUUGAAACUUGCAGCUCAAAAAUUGUCUUCCAAGUGAUCGCUUUUGUGAACUAGUCCCAAACUUCAUCGUGUGAUCAUCGCAGAGGAGGACACAUGGGAAAUCAUGAAACACGCAAUUCUUUGCGAAGUGACCACUACCUCCACAGAUAAAACACUUAAACUGAGAAAAAACUGAGCUUGAAGCACCUUUUGAAUUCAUUAUAACCUUAAAUUGGGAUUGGGAAGAAGGCGACCAAGACAAAUUUGGUUUUUCACUGUGUCUCUGUUUGCGUUUCAGAGGUCAGAUAUUGGGGAAGAAGACACUAUUUAAAAGCCACUAUUUAAAAGCCUGGUUCAGUCGAGUCGGGUCCAACGGUAACAUUAAAAACAUAUUACAACCGUUGGAUUAAAGAUACAUCUCGACCGUUGGAUCAUCACACCUGUCCUCUGUUUUUAAGUUUAAACCGCGUCAGCAUUUUUUCGUUUUAAAUAAGCCAGCGUUUUUAAGUUCUAGCCACGUCAGCAACUGCAAACGGUCAGGAGACAGAAUCGUUAACUUGCUAGUGAUAAGACAAAAAAAAAAUCUUUAGUGGGGUAAACGCAAAUAUUAACAUAAACUUGUGGGGUUUUUACAAAAUGGCCCUCGAAUUAGAAGUUGAAGAGAGAGACACGAAAGCGUUACUUAUUUAUUUUUUAUUAUUCUUCCCGCCACCGCCAAAACCACGCGGGAUUAAAUUGGUCGAACUCGCCCGGGGUAAAUAGGUCUUUUGGCCCAAGUAAGGACCAACUUAGGGUCUGUUUGAUAAUGUGAUUCGAGUCUGGAAAUUAGAUUUUCUGAGAAAUCUCGAUUUAUCAUGUUUAAUUACAAGGUAUAUAAGCAGUAAAAACAAAAUGAUAAGUUAAAAUAGGGGGCAUAUUGGAGCUCAAUGUUAACGAACUCUCAUUAAAACACAUAUUUACAUGAUGUUUUAUUGAUAUUCAUGAUCGAUAUAGCACUUUAGUUAUUUAAUAAAGAUUUUAUUUUCUGAAUAUUUGCAUAUGAUAGAUCUAUUUCCAGGUAAAUUAAUUUUCUGCCCAAAUAAUCAACCUCCCCUGUCGUAAAAGACUAGGUAAACUAUCCUAACAAUCACUUGAUGUUCGAUAUUAACUUUGUAUCAACUAAAGUUUUAUCAAUAACACAAAAUUACAUUAGGCACUUGUUAAUUCUAAUUUCAGGUGUUAUUUAAAUUAGAAAGGUUCAAAAUCAGACCAGUGAAAAAAAAAGAUUUUAAGUAAUCCUCACAUGAUACUCUUGUAUACAUAUAUAUUUGGUUUCAAACUUUCAAUUAUAUAAAGGAAACUGUUGAGUGGACUUUACAAGAAUAAUUAAGCUCAAUCCUUGGUGAAGAGUAGGAUUAGCAUUCCUUCCUACAGAAAUACAGAUCCAAAUUCUUUGGUCAUGCAUUUAUGACGAAGGCAAUCAAGCUAUGGAAGGUGGAUCCAUGGAUGGAUUUGGAGGCAUUUGAAGUUCUUCAUUGCUUGCUUCUAACAUUUCAACUACCUUAGUUAUUGAAGGUCGACUGGCUGGGUGAGUUUGUAUGCACCAAAGAGCCACCAUCAUCUUUUUGGCCGUUGGGUGCUUCAAAAUUUCUCCAGCACCCUCUAACUUCAUGAUUUCGGGUCCUUCCACCUUAGAGUCUUGUUUAAGCUGAUUAUAUAUCCAGUGCGGAAAAUAUAUACCACUGAUAUUCUCCACUGUUACAUCAAGAUUCUUUCUACCCCCUAUCAUUUCCAAUACCAUCAUUCCAUAGCUAUAGACGUCCGACUUGUGAGACACACCCCCAAGGUUUCUACAACUGAUUUCAGGUGCAAUGUAACCCAUAGUUCCUCGAGCUCCAACCAUGGACACAAUGCUUUCUUUUGUUGGGCAAAGUUUAGCUAGCCCAAAAUCGGAUAUCUUUGGGCAAAAGUCUUGGUCUAAAAGGAUAUUGUGGGGUUUAAUGUCGAAAUGCAAAAUACGAGUGUUACAACGACAAUGCAAGUAUUCCAACCCUCUUGCAAUUCCAAGUGUUAUUUGGUAACGCUUAUCCCAUCCCAAAGUAGUAGCAUUGGAAGUUGACAUCUUAUCGUUGUAGAUGAACCUUUCGAGAGAGCCAUUCGGCAUAAAUUCAUACACCAGUGCUCGUUUCGUUCCCUCAGUACAAUAGCCCAGUAGGCUAACCACAUUAACAUGAUUGGUCCUACCAAUGGUAGCUACUUCGUUGAUAAAAUCUUCUCCGUUACCCUUGGAUUCAUUCAAUACUUUUACUGCAACUAAACGACCAUCACGAUUAAGCUUUCCUUGAAAGACACUUCCAUAUCCUCCUUGACCUAAUGUAUUCUUAAAUGAAUUGGUCAUUUUCUUUAUCUCUGAAUAACUGUAUCUUUGUAGAUUAACUCCAUAGCUCUCUAGGAACUCUUCUACAUUUGUUGGUUUCUUAAUUUUCUUCUUCCAUCGAGAGAUAGUUGAGUAGUACAAUAUGUAGAACGUCUUCCUAUAAAUAAGGAGUAAGAUUAAAAGUAAUAAAAGUAAUCCCCCAACUCCAGUAGAUACACCUAUAAACAGAGGGAGGUUAAUAAGUCACAAAACAAAUAUAGAGUUCCAGAUUUGGUUUAAGUAAUAAGCAUAUUCAUGAUCAGCUUACCAAUUAUGACCUUCCGUCGUCCAGUAGGCAUGCCUGCAGUAGUAAUAUAUAGCAUCAGCAUAAUCAUAUAUGAAGAUGGGUGACCAUCAAGUCAUGGAUAAGAUGAGAGCAAACAGAACAUUGUAAAGAAAGAUGAUAUUUUAAUUGAGUAAAAUGCAGUCCAUAUGAGCCAAUAAAAUUGAUUAUAUGUCAAUGCCUACCAAUCAUAUCUGCAGAAAAUGGGAAUAAACUGUAAAAAUAUGGUGGUAUAUUGCAAAAUAUGAAACUAUGCAAUGAUAUUUAGGAGUAACAAUUAUGCAAUGAAGAUUGAAGAGUCACAAUAGUGGCUACUAAUUGAGCAAUGAAAUACCUCGCUAAUACUGAUAUAUACUGUAGAUGAUGAUUACAAGACAUAGCAGCAGUGUAUUAUAUAUGAUAUGAUGAAAAAAUGUUGUCAUUAAAAUGAGCUAGUAAAGUUGUGUGGCUAUGUACUUAUGUGGUAAUUAAUUUCUUUCUUUGAAGUGCUAAAUACAAACUCACCAUCUGGACAGAAUAACCCAUCAUAAGGCAUUACAGCGUCAGCGAAGCAAGUGCACCUAUAACCCUCUGUGGUACUAUUAUAGUAGCAGCGCCCGCCUGAAUCCUCGCAUUUCUGACAAUCAAUAGGCACAGACCAAUACAGAUCAAACCCGAAUUUGGUUGAUUGAGUGUAAUUAAAUGAAGAUGAUGACGGUGUCACCAGAGUCUCCUCACAUCUAUCGUACCAAUUUGGAAUAGAUAAAUUAUUGAAGUAAUCAUAGUCAUUAUUGAAAGCGUAAGAACGUAGUGGUGGUAGAGUAGUAGUAGUGGUGGUGGAAUUAGUGUUGUUCUUGUAGUAAUAAUCUAGACAAGGGAUACGGUUAUCAACAUAUUUAUCAUCAUCAUCACCAUAUCUGCUGCUGCUGCAAUUAUAGAAAAGGGUCCACUUUUGAUCUGAAAAGAAACCCACAUAUGGUGCGGAUUCCAGUGAGAAGUUUCGUUUUGGAUGAGGACAAUCUUGUCCAUAUACAUCCACGUCAAUCAGAUUAAUUGACUUCCCGUAGUAAUCAAUGGAUUGCACAUAGUAGAGGUGGUCGGAGAUAUUCGUGAACGCUCUUCCAUCAUAUUCAUUCAUUAAUAUGUGGACACCAAUGAAAAUCCGUAAAACUGUCCGCUUCAUUCAACACCCUCCUCUCAUCUCCCCUCAUUGACUUUUCAUUGACUCGAAAAAUUUUAAUCCAGAAAAGUCAGAUUUUUAGAAUUUAGAUGCCUACUUCAAAUGCCUAAUCUCUAAAACUGAGUAGUAGUUUAUUACAACUCUAAAUAGUCUUAUUACCACCUCUGAUUAAUCUAUAAUAAUGCCAUAAAUGGCCACUGAUAACUAACCUAUUAAAUGAACGGGUGGCAGUUGGCAUAUUAAAUUCAUACACAUGUUAUUAUCAUAUAUAUUCAUAUUUAUUUAUUACGAGUAUUUGCCACAGAGAAUUUUAUAUGUGUAGCUUACUUGUAUGUGGGUGUGUACACCCAAUCACAAAAUGCCAUGUGGCAAUAAUAAUAUAACCUAGUAUGGGUUUAGUUAACCCUAGUGGGCUUGAUCAGUUUUUCAACCAUUUUAUAGACACGUGGCAUCAUAUGAUUGGGUCUACACACCCACAUACAAGUUGGCUACACAUAUAAAAUUUUUUGGUAUUUGCCAUCAAACAUCCAACCAUACCAUAACUCAUAAGAACCCAUUUAUCAAAGCGUUACACAGUAACAAAAAGGAAAAUACUUUGAAGGAACCUACUUCCAUCUAAGAAUUGAUAAAAUCUUCUUAAGUGUUUGACAUGGUAUGGAACCUUCCUCUCAUCUCUCCUCAUUGACUUUUUCAUUGACUGGAGUACUUCAAAUGCCUAGCCCAUCUCUAAUUGAGUAAUAAGGCUAUAAAUGGCCACUGAUGAGUGACUAACCUAUUAAAUGAACGGGUGGCAGUUGGCAUAUCAAUCAAAUUCAUACACAUGUCAUUAUCAUAUAUUCAUAUUUAUUUAUUACGAGUAUUUGCCUAGCUGUUAAUCGGUACCUUUUCGGUAUAGUGUAUUACGGUACAUUUGCUUGUACACCACACAAUCUUCCACGUGGACUCAAGUGAAAACUUGAUACCGGUUAGUCUAAAGUCAACAAAAAUUUGCUCUUAUUGUUUCUUGAAUUUUGUCAUCCAUAUAGCAAUCUUGUCAUCCAUAUAGCAAUUUUGUCAUCCAUACAGCUGUCACCUGUAUGUUUGACUGAAAAACUAAAAGAAACAAUAAAAAUUGCAUAACCGGUUACCAAGUUGUCCUAAUCACAUUGUGUGGACGAAAAUGCUGCUUGCACCGUAAUGUACUGAGUUAAAAUGUAUUGAAUAAAUGGCUGUAUUUGCCAUCAAACAUCCAACCAUAUCAUAACUCAUAAGAACCCAUUUAUCAAAGCGUUACACCGUAACAAAAAUACUACUACUACUCGUAUAAUACAUAUUACUACCUAGUACCAUAGGUAGGUAGUAGUUAAAGAUCUUGAAUCUCGCACCUUUUCUCAUGAUUUAAUUUACUUACUCAUGAUUCAUGAAACGUUUGUCUGUCGUUUGUUCUAACUUCAAACAACUCAUAAUACUGUACUACUCGUAUAAUACAUACAGUAUUUCUUUUAGGUUGUUGUAGGCCUGUAAAAUGGGCCGGGUAGGGCUAGCCCGGCCCUUGAACCUUCGAGCCCUCACACUUUAAGGGUCGGGCCAACCCUACCCUAAAAGAUGAGAGGGUCGGGUUAGGGCGGGUCAACAUAAAAAUUGUGAAAACCUCACCCGACCCUUAGCCCUUUAUUUUAAAGGGUUGAGGGUCGGGCUAACGGGACCGAUUGAUAGGGUCGAUACAUAGAAUUAUGUUUUACUUGAAAAAAAAUAUGUGAUCAUGUUUUUAUUAAUAUCAUUUUAAUAUUUUUGAAAAUACAUAUAAUAUGUUUCAAUUCUUAAAUGUACAAAUAUAUUUUUUUCACCAUAAAAUUUGUUAUAGUAUAUAUAUGAUAUUAUUUUAUCCAAGAGCAUUACAAUUAAUAAAUACAAAGAACUCGUAGUUAGAUGUUAUCUUAUUACUAAAAUUUCAAACUUUAGAAAUUUAAUCCUAAAUUUAUAAAAUUCUAGCAUAAUAAGUAUAAAAUACACAUUUAAAAUAAUAAUCUAAUUAUCGUUUAUUGCACGCUCAAUAAUGAAAUAGAUGGUUAAUAAAAAAAUAAUUCUAUUGAGAAUCAAUUUCUUUUAGUUAUAUAAUAGUUUUUUAACAACUAGUUCGGAAAAUAUUCGAUAAACAUUUGAUAAAUAUAAUAUAACUUAAACAAAAGUGAUAUCUAUGUCUAAUUGAAAAAAUCUUUACGAUUAAAACUCUAAAAAAAUGUUCAAAUUUUGAUAUAUAGAGAAAUAUAUUAAAAAUUAUACAUAUAUUUAUAAGGGCCGUAAGAGGGCUUUGAGAGGGUUAAUUAGGGUCGGGCUAAGGGUAGGGUCUAAGAUUUUCAAAGCUAAACCCUAACCCGACCCUUAAAAGGAGAGGGUCGGGCCGACCCUACCCUAAAAAUCAUAAGGGUCAAGCUUUAAGGGCUUUUUUCAUUGAAUGGGUCGGGCGGGCCGGGCCGGGUUCAGGGUCAAAGGGCCAUUUUUACAGGCCUAGGUUGUUGCACUUGUUCGUACGUAUCUUUGAAUCCUAUUGUUGAUCACUUGCGCAGCACACAGCUUGAUAACACUUUUGUGCAUUGACUCAGUUGAAAGAUAUAAUAAUGUUUUAGCAGUGCAAAUUAGUUCAUGUGGUAUCCAUUUUCUUAAAAAAAUUGGUUGUAGGCACAAGCUAAGAAGCUUGCAUGAAGUCUCUAAAAGCAGGCGAAAAAUCACUUAAGGCACAUGAACAAAAGAUUUGUAGUUCAUUGUAGAACCCCAGUAUCUCUCUAGACUCUAGCUCUCAUUCAUUCUUGGUUACUUUGAUCGUGUGUGUUCUGUGAUUGUUUUAAACCUCUGGAUCUUCAUAUACAGCUAACAAAGUCUACUGUUUGUAUUUGGCUUGAACCAGGUUUUGCAGCGGCCCAGAGAUCGACCAGAGUGCGGUUUGCUGUUUGAAAUGCUUGAACAAGAAUUCUGAAGCAAAAAGCUCGACCAAUUAUAUUAAAUAUGUAUAGUACUAGUGGAAAAGUGCAUGAGUUCGUUCUCUCUUAAAAUAGCAGAAUAUGUCAAGUAUCUUGAUUUAAUCUUCUACAUUAAGGAAAAAAUUUAAUGCACCAAAAACACUAAAAGGGUGUCUUUUCUGAGCUUCACACAAAUUACAUAAUUUGCUUACCAAAAAAACUCUAUUCAGGCUCAUAGUUUAUUUAUGAAAUCAAUGUCGUUAUUUUUGUUAUAUGUGAUUUUGUUGCAGAGUCGGAGGCUAUUAUAUAUACAUGGCGUUCUAAAAGCACCCUAUUUACAUUGUAAUAGCAUUAAGUCCCAGAUUGCAGUGCACAUCUGUACAUCUAAUUUUCUCAACUAUGAAAUCCAACUGCAUACAACCUCAGCUCUAUCUAUAUCUCCUUGGCAAAUUUGCCAAGGAGUUAAAAGAGUUUUAGAGGUGCCACAUAAGAUUGUUUAAUAAUUAAAAAUUAUAUUGCAUUAAAUGAUUGUCACAUUUGUGUUAUUUUUAUCUUUCAUUCAAAAACAACCAUUGGCAACUCUAAAAGUAAAAAACACUUUUAGCAUAGUUUAAUCUUAAAACCUUUACCCUCUCUCCUACGUGGCACCUCUAAAACCAUUUUACCAUUGGGAAUGCUCUUACACAGUAACAAAAAGAAAAAUACUUUGAAGGAACCUACUUCCAUCCAAGAAUUGAUAGAACCUUCUUAAGUGUUUGACAUGUGUCCAUGCAUUGAAUAAGUUUUUGGGGAUAGAAAACACACAUUAAAUGAGUUGUUUUUCAACUACUUCAAUUUAAUAAAUAAAUUCUUAAAUAAAUCUGUGAAACCCAAUGGUCUUUUUCUUUUCAAAAUGCUUAUUUAUAAUUUUUUUUUCUCUAAAACCAUAUAUUUUCUUUUGAAAAUUUUGUACUCCUCUUUCAUCUUAAACUCCUAUUUUUUAAUUUUGAUUUUCAGGUUUUAAGGAAUCAAAAUGAAUGAAAUACUUUAACGUGAUAAAAAAAAAAAAAAAAAAAACUAAAGAAUUGAGAAAUUAAAAAUAGUUUAAUGAGUUAUUUAUCUAUUAAGUAUAUUUUAUUUUUUAUUUUUAUAAUUUGAAAAUUUAAGAAGUUAAAUUUUGAGUGUUGGAUUAUUUGUUCAAAGGAUUUACUAGUAUUUUUGUUUUUACUGGAUCAUUAAUUUUGAAAAUUUGAUUGAUCGAGGAAAGUGUAUUAAUUUAAAAAUAAAAUUAAAGGAUUUCUUUUAUCUUAAAUCUGUGGGUCCUACAUCAGUUAUUUAAUAUCUGGUCAUGUAUUAAUUAUUAAAAAGUUCAAUAGAAAAAACUACGUGGUGAAAAAAGGGGUUCUAUCAAAUCGUUGAUGGAGGUGGGUUCCUUCAAAGUAAUGCUCAAAAAAAUACUUUGAAGGAACUACUUCCAUCUAAGAAUAAUACUACUGCUCGUAUAAUACAUAUUACUACCUAGUACCAUAGGCAGUAGAUAAAAGAUCUUGAAUCUCGCACCUUUUUUCAUGAUUUACUUACUCACUAAGUGAAUGCACGUCUGUUAGACGUAUUAUAUUCAGUUUCCUUGUUUUUUGGUAAAAGCAAUGUUAUUUUCCUGGUUUGUAGGUAACUACUUAAUAAAGUUUAAUUAUUUAUAUUAAAAUUACAUAAUAACCCUUUAUAUCAUAGAGGAUAUAAAGGGUAUCCUAUAGAGGUAUCCUGCUCUAUUCAAUAUUUCAAACAACAAAUUUGGGACUGUAAGUAGCAUGUCUUCCCAUGGCUCAUCUAUGGGAGCCUAGAAUUUGGAUUUCAGAAGAAGACUUUAUGAUUGGGAGCUUCCGGAAUGGGAAAGUCUGCAGAACCUGUUGAAUGUUGUUGUGCUUGAUGAAGAUGAUGACUCAUGGCUUUGGAAAGGGUCCAGAGAUGGUCGUUUUUCAGUCAAGGCUUUUUAUGAUCAUGUGGUGACUAUGGAAAGAGGGCUUGAUAUUGAUAUCAUUCCUUUCCCCUCAAGGUUAGUGUGGGGAGUUAAAAUGCCGUCAAAAUGCAAGAUGCUCUUUUGGUGCACAUUGUCGGAAAGCAUUUUAACAAGAGACAUUCUGAUUCGUAGAGGUACAAUGGUGGAUCCCUUUUGCUCUGGGUGUAGGCUUAUGGAGGAGUCGAUCUGUCAUGUUUUCUUGCAUUGCCCCAUUGCUUUGCAGCUCUAGCAUGAAUUGUUGACUCCUAGAAUCCACUGUUAUACCUUAAUCAUGACUGCUGAUUCUGUGGAGGAGCUCCUUAUAGCUUGGCCAUAGAGUUUGGGUCUACAUUUAGAGAAAAGAGUAUGGUCUCUACUACCCUAUGUUGUGAUGUGGGUGUUGUGGAAGACGCGCAAUGAACAUAUCUUCAGGUCAAGGAUGGUGUCGAUGGAACGUAUGGUGGUGGAGGUCAAGGCCACGCUUUGGUAUUGGGUUGGGUGUUGGCCAGAGCGUCGCUUCUAUGUCUUUCAAGAUCUGCUCCUACGCUGGUUCAAAUUGCUUAACAAAUUGCUUGUUAAGAAUGGGUCGAAUGAGAUGCAGUGAGUUAUCGCAUUGCAUGUGGGUUUCCUAUUCUGUUCUUUUCGGACUUUACCUGACGAUGCCUUUGGCAUGCUGAUCAGGCUGUAAUUCUUUUAUCUCUUUCUAAUAAAUUCUACUUAUCAAAAAAAUAAAAAAUCAUAGAAGAUAUAUUUGAUUUUAGUGAAAGAGAAAUAGACUUUUUUGGUAAAAGUUUGACAUCAGGAAAAAAAAAAAAAAAUUCUGUUGUUCUAACUUCAAAGUUCAAACAACUCUAUUGUUCUUGUUCUCUUUCUCUACCCCACCAAAUAAGUACAAAAGUAAAAAAAAAACUACCCAUCUCUACUUUUUUCUCAUUCAGUACUUUCGUCAAACACUUUGAUCACUUCGAUCACUUCGAUCAAAUCUGCAAUUAAACCGAUACACCCCACUUUCCAUUAAACGAAACAAGAUCAAAUUGCAAAUUUUACUCUCUUUGAGGAAUUUCUUUAAACACUUUAAGAAUGGCUUGUCAAGCAAUUCAUGAGAUACACUCAUGGACAUUUUCUGC
rnacentral:lncRNA from 1 species